AAAUGAGCAAGGGGGCCAUAGAAACUUCUUUUCGAACGACUCCACUCAAAGUUGUUUGGGAGCAUAUGCUCCUAUCAACUUUACCCGGGACACACAAAAGAAGUACUUUGAUCCUAUUAGACGGGGGAGGGUGAAGAAGCUAGGACAGAAGGGUAGAGUUCAAGAGAGCAAAAUGCGUUUAGGAACGUGGAAUAUAGGAAACCUUAACGGGAAAAUCUAUGGAAGUAGUGGAAGUUAUGGUGAGGAGAAGGAUAAAAUGUUAUGUGCCUACAAGAAACUAAGUGGGUUGGUAGUAAGGCAAAGGAUCUAGAAAACUCAGGGUUUAAACUUUGGUAUUCGGGCACAAAUAGAACGAGAAACGGUGUUGGCAUCAUCGUGGACAAGACCUUGGUACAAGAUGUUGUAGAUGUCAAGAGGGUAGGAGAUAGAAUCAUGGCAAUCAAGAUUGUAAUAGGACAAGAACUUAUCAAUGUGAUUAGUGCGUACGCACCUCAAGUAGGGUUGGAUACGAGUUCGAAGGAGAAAUUUUGGGAAGAUCUUGGAGACUUGGUGCAAGGAAUUGCUCAGACGGAGAAGUUAUUUUAUAGGAGGAGAUUUAAAUGGACACGUGGGCAGGGAGACAGGCAACUAUGGAGGUUUUCAUGGUGGCCAUGGUUUUGGGGAGAGAAACGAGGAUGGGGAAGCUAUCUUGGAUUUUGCAAUGGCAUAUGAUCUCUUCUUAGCCAACACCUUCUUUAAGAAGAGAGAAGAACAUGUGAUCACCUACAAGAGUGGGUCGUCAAAAAACACAAAUAGAUUUUCUUCUAAUGAGGAAAGGGGAUAGUAUAACUUGUAAGGAUUGCAAAGUUAUACCAGGAGAGAGCGUGGCUAAUCAACAUCGCUUGUUGGUGAUGGAUGUACAUAUCAAAAGAGUAAGACAAAAGAACAAGACUUGGAAGUGCCCAAGGACUAGAUGGUGGAAUCUAAAAGAAGAAAAACAAGCCAUUUUCAAAGAGAAGGUAAUCACCCAAUGUGUGUGGGAUAGAGAGGGGGAAGCUAGCCAAAUGUGGGAUUCCAUGGCUAGUUGUAUCCGAAAAGUAGCAAAAGAGGUAUUAGGAGAGUCCAAGGGCUUUGCCCCACACCAAAAGGAAUCUUGGUGGUGGAAUGAGGAGGUACAAACAAAGGUGAAGGCUAAGAAGGAAUGUUGUAAAGCCUUAUACAAGGAGAGGACUGAUGAAAAUGGUGAAAGGUAUAGAAAAGCGAAGCAAGAGGCGAAGAAAGCUGUCAGAGAAGCUAAGUUAGCGGCUUACGACGAUAUGUAUAAACGACUAGAUACCAAAGAAGGAGAGUUGGAUAUCUAUAAACUAUCUAGAGCAAGGGAAAAGAAGACCAAGUGAGGUGCAUCAAGGAUGAGGAUGGAAAGGUUCUUGCUACAGAGAACGCGGUUAAAGACAGAUGGAGAGGUUAUUUUCAUAAUCUUUUCAAUGAAGGACAUGAAAUGAGUGCUUCUUUAGGGGAGUUGAGUAACUCAGAAGAGUGUAGAAACUACUCUUUUUAUCGUCGAAUCCGGAAGGAAGAAGUGGUUGUAGCUUUGAAGAAGAUGAAGCAUAAAAAAGCAAUAGGCCCAGACGAUAUACCAAUCGAAGUGUGGAAACUUUUGGGAGAGACAGGUAUAACAUGGCUCACUGACCUUUUCAAUAGGAUUUUGAAAACGAAGAAGAUGCCAAAUGAGUGGCGAAUGAGCACUUUGGUGCCUAUCUACAAGAAUAAGGGCGACGUACAAAAUUGCAUGAACUAUAGGGGUAUUAAGCUAAUGAGUCAUACAAUGAAGCUCUGGGAGAGAGUCAUUGAGCAUAGAUUGAGGCAAGAGACACGGGUUUCGGACAACCAAUUCGGGUUCAUGCCAGGGCGCUCAACCAUGGAGGCAAUCUAUCUCUUACGAAGAUUGAUGGAAAGAUAUAGAGAUGGGAAAAAGGAUUUACACAUGGUCUUUAUAGAUUUGGAAAAAGCGUAUGAUAGGGUCCCAAGAGACAUUCUUUGGAGGAUUUUAGAGAAAGAAAGGAGUACGAGUAGCAUAUAUCCAAGCUAUAAAGGAUAUGUAUGAAGGAGCAAAGACUGCCGUAAGAACUCAUGAAGGACAAACCGAAAGCUUUCCCAUAACUGUAGGAUUACAUCAAGGCUCAUCCUUAAGUCCUUACCUUUUUGCGUUGGUAAUGGAUGAGUUAACACGACAUAUUCAAGAUGAUAUUCCUUGGUGUAUGCUUUUCGCAGACGAUAUAGUGUUGAUAGAUGAAACUCAGGAAGGGGUAAAUGCAAAGCUUAACCUUUGGAGAGAAGUGUUGGAAUCUAAAGGUCUUCGCCUAAGCCGAUCAAAGACAGAAUAUAUGGAGUGCAAGUUCAGUGCAAAUGGAGGCCAAAACGAGUUAGGGGUGAGGAUCGGAGAUCAAGAAAUACCAAAGAGCGACCGUUUUCGUUACCUAGGAUCUAUCUUUGCAAAAGAACGGAGAAUUAGAUGGAGAUCUCAACCAUAGAAUACAAGCUGGAUGGAUGAAGUGGAAGAGUGCAUCCGGCGUGUUGUGUGACCGCCGUAUGCCACUGAAGCUCAAGGGAAAAUUUUUAUAGGACGGCAAUAAGGCCGGCGAUGCUGUAUGGCACAGAAUGUUGGGCGGUGAAACAUCAACACGUACACAAAAUGGGUGUAGCGGAGAUGAGGAUGCUUCGUUGGAUGUGUGGGCACACGAGAAAGGAUAAGAUUAGGAAUGAGGAUAUCCGGGGUAAAGUAGGAGUAGCCGAAAUUGAAGGAAAGAUGAGAGAAAAUCGGUUACGGUGGUUUGGACAUGUGCAAAGAAGGCCUACUGACGUUCCGAUUAGAAGAUGCGACUAUGGGACAGAGGUUCAGGGCCGAAGGGGUAGAGGAAGACCUAGGAAAACUUUGGAAGAGACUCUAAGAAAAGACUUAGAGUACUUGGAUCUAACGAAGGACAUGACACAGGAUCGAGCACAAUGGCGUUCUAAGAUUCAUAUAGCCGAUCCCACUCAGUGACUUGGAUUUUCCAAGUCUCCAACCGAGAAGUUUUCCUCACUUCGGGAAAUUAAGAGGAACACUACCCCAACCUACAUGCUCCACUCAGAAAGCUUCAACAUACAAGCUUUAACAAAAGAAAAUUCAAAGAACUUAGCGAAGAAGGCUUUGGUGUAUUUAACACAAUACGUUGAAAUGAAGGAAAGCUUAUUUAUUGAUAUCCCCGAUAAGCUACAAAUAUGUACAUAUACAUGAGUCAAAAUAAACACACAAGAGGGAGCCUUCACAAAGGUUGCUUAGGAGAAGUCUCAGCAGUCGGUAGAGCCCCAGAAAGAGAAGGCACCGGAGGGGGAUCAUUUGGAGCCUCAGUACUGGACAGAACCCUAGAAGGAGGAGGCAUCAGAGGUUGAUCAUUUGGAGCUUCAUUACGCGGUACAGCCCCAGAAGACGAAGGCAAUAAAUGCCUUUGGAACAAACCCACAAAUCUCUGAUGAUCAAGUAAAACCUGACCAUCAGUUUCCUUCAUCUGGUCAAGCUUCCUCUUCAUGUUUGUAGCAUAGUCAUGUGCGAGCCGGUGCAACUGUUUAUUCUCAUGCUUGAGCCCUCUAAUCUCCUGUUUGAGACUCAUCACUUCAGCCGCCAAUGAUUCAACUUGGCGGGUUCGAGCAAAUAGGCGUUGGGCCAUAUUAGACACAGAACCUGCACACUGAACACUGAGAGCCAGCGAAUCCUUAACAGCUAACUCAUCAGACCGUUUGGAAAGUAGUCUGUUAUCUUUGGGAGUGAGAAGGUUCCUGGCCACCACCGCAGCGGUCAUAUCAUUCUUCAUCACGGAAUCCCCAACGGUAAGAGGACCAGUAGGGGAGACGAAGGAUGGGCGCCAUAUGUUGUCUGGAGAAGGCGGGGCUGCCUCUUCAACAAGGUUCAAGUCAAAACGACGGUCGGAGGGGCCAGACAUUUUCAAAGGUGUUGAAGAGAGAAGAGGUCGGACAAAUCAAGAUCUUAGAAGUGCAAGAAUGAAGCUUCUACUGGUGGAGAUUCAAGUGUGCUUUGGAACUUAAUGCCAGCCCCUAUAAAAAUCUGCACUCGACGAAGCUUCAGAAAUCGAAGAGGCGCCUGCUCAGAAAAUCGAAGAGGCGUUUGCUUUCUCAAAAGCUGGGCUGCUUAGAGAUCACGAGGGUUGAUCUCAGAAAUCGAAGAGGCGUUUGCUUUCUCAAAAGUUGGGCUGCUCAAAGACCACGAAGGCCGAUCUCAAAAAUCGAAGAGGCGCUCGCUUUCUCAAAAGCUAGGCUCCCCAGAGACCACGAGGGCCGAUAUCAGAAAUCGAAGAGGCACCUACUUUUCCAGCCUUUUCCAGCCUUGUCAGCACCUGUCACACGCACACUCAGUUUUGCGGAAAUUAUGGGCAUUCUGUCAAAGACUUCUGGGGAAGUAGAAAACACAUGAAUCUUACUGUUCAAUCACCCACUUCCCACACGCAACAAUAGCUCAUGGGUACCACAGAUAAUUUUGCCAAAGUUCUCUGCCAAAGUUGAGCACGUGAAGCUUGCAGCUCCCACUACAUCGCUCUGACCAAGAAGGGUAAAAGAAUAGCAAAGAAACAGCACUAACAAAGUUUAGACCCAUAAAUUUUGAAGGUCUAGCUACCAUAUUAUUACCCACAAGGGUAAAGGAACAGUACCACUGCUGGAUAAUUGGAAAGUCCCUGUGUGUCAACCUCUGUGCUUCGUGGCAAGGUAGACUAGCAAACAUGCCCAACCUUUACUCACAUUCGAGAAAACACUCCCAAUAAGAUUGCUUGCUCCAAAAUCGAAGAGGCACCGUCCUCCGAAUCUCGAGAGCCAGACUCCCAACAUGACUACUUUCUUAAAAAUCGAAGAGAGGGUAAAGGAACAGUACCAUUGCUGGAUAAUUGGAAAGUUCCUGUGUGUCAACCUCUGUGCUUCGUGGCAAGGUAGACUAGCAAACAUGCCCAACCUUUACUCACAUUCGAGAAAACACUCCCAACAAGAUUGCUUGCUCCAAAAUCGAAGAGGCACCGCCCUCCGAAUCUCGAGAGCCAGACUCCCAACAUGAUUACUUUCUCAAAAAUCGAAGAGACACUGCUCCCCGAAUCUCGAGAGCCAGACCCCCAGCAUGAUUGCUUUCUCAAAAAUCGAUGAGGCAUCGUUCUCCGAAUCAAUCGAAGAGGCGCUCGCUUUCUCAAAAGCUGGGCUGCUCAGAGACCACGAGGGCCGAUCUCAGAAAUCGAAGAGGCACCUACUUUUCUAGCCUUGUCAACACCUGUCACACGCACACUCAGCUUUGCAGAAAUUAUGGGCAUUCUGUCGAAGACUUCUGGUGAAGUAGAAAGCACAUGAAUCUUACUGUUCAAUCACCCACUUCCCACACGCAACAAUAGCUCAUGGGUACCACAAAUAACUUUGCCAAAGUUCUCUGCCAAAGUUGAGCACGUGAAGCUUGCAGCUCCCACUACAUCGCUCUGACUAAGAAAGGUAAAAGAAUAGCAAAGAAACAGCACUAACAAAAGUUUAGACACAUAAAUUUUGAAGGUCUAGCUACCAUAUUAUUACCCACAACUGUAAAGGAACAGUACCACUGCUGGAUAAUUGGAAAGUCCCUGUGUGUCAACCUCUGUGCUUCGUGGCAAGGUAGACUAGCAAACAUGCCCAACCUUUACUCACAUUCGAGAAAACACUCCCAAUAAGAUUGCUUGCUCCAAAAUCGAAGAGGCACCGUCCUCCGAAUCUCGAGAGCCAGACUCCCAACAUGACUACUUUCUCAAAAUCGAAGAGAGGGUAAAGGAACAGUACCAUUGCUGGAUAAUUGGAAAGUCCCUGUGUGUCAACCUUUGUGCUUCGUGGCAAGGUAGACUAGCAAACAUGCCCAACCUUUACUCACAUUCGAGACAAACACUCCCAACAAGAUUGCUUGCUCGAAAAAUCGAAGAGGCACCACCCUCCGAAUCUCGAGAGCCAGACUCCCAACAUGAUUACUUCCUCAAAAAUCGAAGAGACACUGCUCUCCGAAUCUCGAGAGUCAUACCCCCAGCAUGAUUGCUUUCUCAAAAAUCGAAGAGGCAUCGUUCUCCGAAUCUCGAGAGCCAGAUACCACAGACCACUUUUUCAAAGUGCUCUGACAGAGUUAAAACAUGUGAAACUGGCAGCUCCCACUACCGUGCUAUGACCAAGCAGGGUAAAGGAAUAGCAUUACUACUUGUUGUUAGGGAGACUCCUAUAUAUGUCGACCUCCAUCCCCAACGGACAGCAGCAGACCUGCAAAAAUGCUCAACCCUUCAUCAUAUCUGAGAGGGCACUCCCAACGAAGCCUUUCGAAAUAUUCAGCUUUCUUUCCCCCCGAUAAUACCUCUGCAAACAAGCUAUACUAGAGCAAGAAUAUCUCAUAUCAUCAGGGUUAAAAGCAAGAGUAUCCCAUAUCAUGCUUUUUUCCUGUCUUUUCUUUUGGCCUUGUUUUUACCUGCAAGACAAGGAGAAAGAGAGCAAUCAGUCAGCACUUGGAAUCAAGCUUCCAGCCAGGAACUGACUGCCUGGAACCCCUUACCUGAUUACUUACCUGGCAUUGCUCUCGAGUACUCAUCUUCAACAUCUUAUGUUUCCAGGGAAGAUUCCGCAUCUGCUUGAGGAACAGAUAGGGCAAGUGCGAAGGAUACAAGGAAGCAUGUGGAGACAAGCGUAACAGCACACGUGCCGAUACAUUCAUUACUCUGUCAAAAGCAAAAGUAUCCCAUAUCAGCAGGGUGGAACGUACUCUAGAUUUGAUGGACUUGUUUUGACCCUCAAAUUCUUCAGUCGGCCUUAUACUCUGGAGGAAACCAGAAAACCCUCCAGCUCAGUUCAAGAAUAAGCCUGUGGAAAGUUACUUCUUCAAAAGCAAAAGUAUCUCAUAUCAUCUCUUCUCAUUUUUUCUUCUCUUUAUCCUUCAUGCUGCAGCAAGAUGGGGAGAAGGUGAACAAUCAGUCGGAGCUCUGAUUGCUUACCUUGUCUGUCACCUCUUUCAGCAGACCCCCUAGCUCGGCGACUUGGGGGACUCCUACUACAUGGUUUGUAUCGCGCUUGACCAAGCCUGAAACUACAAGUAAGCUUCAAGUGAAAUUGAUACAUUACCUUGUGCAUCUCCACCAGUUAAAGAUACCACCCCUGGAUGGAGGAAGAGUACUUCCAGAGAAGAUGCCACAUCUACCUAUGAGACAGAUAAGGCAAGUCAAGACGACACCACACUCCGAUACUUAGAAGUUUCGUGAUUACGAGAUCAUUCUCCCACAAUAUUUCCUAAUGUCAUUUGUAUUAAAUCAUUCACUUGUACUCACUAAAUGAGAGCUUGAACCUAUGUACUUGUGUAAACCCUUCACAAUUAAUGAGAACUCUUCUAUUCCGUGGACGUAGCCAAUCUGGGUGAACCACGUACAUCUUGUGUUUGCUUUCCUAUCUCUAUCCAUUUAUAUACUUAUCCACACUAAUGACCGGAGCAAUCUAGCGAAGAUCACAGAAAGCGAUCGUUUUCGCUACCUAGGAUCUAUCUUGCAAGAGAACGGAGAAUUAGAUGGAGAUCUCAACCAUAGAAUACGAGCUGGAUGGAAAGAGUGCAUCCGGCGUGUUGUGUGACCGUCGUAGGCCACUGAAGCUCAAGGGAAAAUUUUAUAGGACGGCAAUAAGGCUAGCGAUGUUGUAUGGCACAGAAUGUUGGGUGGUGAAGCAUCAACACGUACACAAAAUGGGUGUAGCGGAGAUGAGGAUGCUUCGUGGGAUGUGUGGGCACACGAGAAAGGAUAAGAUUGGGAAUGAGGAUAUCCGAGGUAAAGUAGGAGUAGCCGAAAUUGUAGGAAAGAUGAGAGAAAAUCGGCUCCGGUGAUUUUGAACAUGUGCAAAGAAGGCCGACUGACGCUCCGGUUCGAAGAUGUGACUACGGGACAGAGGUUCAGGGCCGAAGGGGUAGAGGAAGACCUAGGACAACUUUGGAAGAGACUCUAAGAAAAGACUUAGAGUACUUGGAUCUAACGGAGGACAUGACACAAAACCGAGCGCAAUGGCGUUCUAGGAUUCAUAUAGCCGACCCCACUUAGUGGGAAAAGGCUUUGUUGUUGUUGUUGUUGUUGUUGUUUACUUAACAUGAAUUGCUAAGAGACAGUGUAAAACGUUAAAAGGGAAAAUUGUGAAUGCCACUCAAACUAAAAAUCUUGUCACCUCCUAGACUCAUGUAUUAGUGCAAAUGUACUUCCAUUAUUUUCUAUGAAAGUUUAGUCGAAACGUAUCAUCUGCAACACAUGCGAGCCAUUUUUCCAGGUUAUUACCACUUCAAGACAACUAGAUGACUUAGGGUAAAAAUUUAAUUGAUUAAAGCUUGUGGAACAUAUCUUUGCUUCCUCGAAGACAAGCUGUAGUCAAAGAAAUUCUUACCCCAACACGGCAACACGUGAUGAAUUUUGAUGGGAUUUCUAGCAGAGUUUGACAGAGGUGGUACAUACAAGUUAAAAGUGGUAUUUACGCACGCCCAUAAGUCCAGGUGGCAUUGGUGCAAAUUUCCCAAGUUAAAAUAUGUCAAGGUCUUAAUAGGCAGUCACUCUUAGUGAUUGCUUACUUGCACAGCCCCUUAUGAGUUCAAUGUUCGCAUAUAUAUAUGAAGAAUUUUAAUCUCAUCAGAUGAUGUCUUCCAUUUCUUUCAGGUCAGGUUAAAGCGUCAUAGGUGGCACAAGAAAGUACUUAAGAAUAACGAUCCCCUUAUUGUUUCUAUUGGGUGGAGGAGAUACCAAACAAUACCAGUUUAUGCUAUUGAGGAUCGCAAUGGAAGGCAUCGCAUGCUUAAGUACACUCCUGAACACAUGCAUUGCCUUGCAAUGUUUUGGGGCCCUCUUGCCCCUCCCAAUACUGGUGUGGUUGCUUUCCAGAAUUUAUCAAACAAUCAGGUUUGACAAGUUUCUUUUCUUUUCGUUUUUGUCUUAUUUUUAUGUUUCUUUCAUCUCUUUGAAAUUCGUAGCUCGCAACGGUACUUUAAAUAUAUAUUUCAUUUAAAAUUCAUCUAAUUAGGACUAGGUUGAGGAUUAAACUUGAGGAUCGAAUGUGAAGACCAACUUUCAAUGUGGUCCCAUGAGUUGAACCUACACUCAAUCUUUCUUUUUUUUGUAAAAUAGUUACAUGCACCGAAUAUUAUCCCGACUUUUUUACUACGUGAUGUGGCACGUAACGUGGUAUUUGCUUAAUAUUAUUAUUAUUAUUUUUUUUUAUAAUUGAGGUUCAAAGUGAGUCCAUAUCAGUGUUUUAAAAAGCACACCUGAGGUGCGCCUAGGCGGCUUUGGAGGCGGGGUGGGAGUGAUAAACGCCUCUGCCCAGUGGGAGUAGGCAAAAACUCACCUAGACGUGGUUGAUGCACGCCUAGGCAGCUAAGGUGCUCUUGAAGGCGGUUGAUUGGGCAUUCCUAGAUCCAUCACCGAUCCGAAUUCGAAGUCUUCUGGGUUUAGGGUUGCAGUGUGCCGCAUCAUCUUCACGAAGAAGACGAUCAUGAAGUAGAAAUAUUUUUUUUUCAAAAACUUGGUCCAAACAACGUCGUUUGGCCAAAUCUUUAAUUUUUUUUUUUUAAAAUGACUUGGCCCAAAACAACGUCGUUUUGGCCAAGUCUUUUUAUUUUUUAUAACCCACAGUAGUUCCCUGUAUGUGUUUUUAAAUAACCUGCAGCAGUCCCCAAUUAUUUAGAUCUUGUAAGGCUUUUGUCUCACGCCUCACGACUUUCGCCUCACGCCUCAAGGCUUUCGCCUAGGCGGGCUAUUCAUGAAACGCCUCGCCUAUGGCUUCGCCUUUUAAAACAUUGGUCCAUAUAUAAGAAAAUGAAUGUUGCCACAUUAGGUGAGAUUUGAAAAGUUCGAAUAACAGUUGUUGCCUCUAGUUAUGUGCCAAAUAAAACAACCGUCCUCUUAAUUUAUAAGUAAUAAACAACUACCAUUGGGUUGAUAGAAUUUUUCAAAGUCUCUCAUUAUUCAGAACAGUGGAGAUUUCGAUCAAUGUGUUUUCGCCUCUCCCAUUCAGGCUCUCUCGAAUUGAAACCAUUAUGCAUGGGUAACGUUUCAACUCUGCCACAUCUGUUGGUAAUGGAGAGUUUGGAACUUGGGAAGUACUACUGAAACUUUAUUAAUCAGACAAUAAGAUGGCGACAUCGUCAACUCCUAAUAAACCAAUAAGAAAAUAAGCUGCAAGGUCAUGUAGUAGAGGCUAGCUUACUACAGCUUUGCGAUUUGAUGAUUUUGGACAGAGUCGCUCGAAGUUCGACUAUCUCCCAGUGCUACUCUCUCUUAAACCUCAUGCGUCUUCAUGGAUUCUUGUGUUUCUUUUGCACCAUAGACAUAUUUGUUUCUUAGGAAUCUAAACCUGUUUUCUGCCCUUUGGUGAGCUACAGUACCAAUCGAGUACGUAAUUUCAAUGCACAACACACUGGUCUAUGUCUUGGUCUUGCACUUAAGUGCUGGUUAUGCUAUUUUCUCUCCUUUAAGACCAUUUUUAUUUAACCAACCUAGACCUGGAACACAAGUUGAUUUUGUUAUUUCACAGGCUACCUGUAUAAGGUGUCCUUGAAUCUCUAGGUUUAAUUUCAUAUAAAUAGAUUUUAUGGAAUGACGUUGAUUUGGAAAGGAAGUAAAUGGUGUUUGAAUAUGAUAUCCAGGCCACAUUGACCUGUUUGGUUUGAACAUUGUGUUUACUUACCUUUCAUGAACUCUUCCUGUGGAUUUUCUUGCUUAGUGGGUCUACUAAACCUUUUGUCAAUUAGCCUAUUUAUAAGGUUCCUCCUCUCUCAUUCUACCCACUGAAAUAAAAAGAAAACACACAAGAUGAAAAAUGACAAAACUAAUCAUUCAUAAACCUUUGUGCCGCAUUAUUAUUUUCCCAAUUUUCUCUUUUCAUUUGAAUUUUCGAAUUUUAAGGGUACACUGUGUUUCUUUGUUCCUAAGCUACUUUAUUUGAUUUGGCAGGCACAAUUUAGGAUCACAGCAACUGCAGUUGUGCUUGAGUUCAACCAUGCAUCACGAAUAGUGAAGAAACUCAAACUAGUUGGUCACCCCUGCAAGAUUUUCAAGAACACUGCCCUUGUAAAGGAUAUGUUCACCUCGGAUCUUGAAAUAGCUCGAUUUGAAGGUGCUGCUGUUCGAACUGUCAGUGGAAUCCGGGGGCAGGUCAAAAAGGUAUGAACUCAGCUGUAUUUUUAACUGGAAUGAUAUUCGUUUUUGUUAUUGUUGAGCUGGCAUUGAGACCAAGUAUGCGCGCACACGUGUGUGUGUGUGUGUGUGUGUAUUCACAAGUAACAGACACAUAAGCUCUUUACAGAUUGUAAAUAAAUUUGUGAGCGCAUUUCGUCAUAUGGCCCACGAUGCUCAUAUAAUUUACUUUUAUUAAUAUUAACCUUGACAGGCUGCGAAAGAAGAAAUUGGUAACCAACCAAAAAAGAUGGGUGGACAACCAAAAGAAGGGAUUGCUAGGUGCACCUUUGAGGACAAAAUUAAGAUGAGUGACAUUGUUUUUUUGCGUGCUUGGACUCAAGUUGAAGUUCCUAGAUUUUACAACCCAUUGACGACGUCCCUGCAACCUCGUGACAAGACCUGGCAAGGGAUGAAAACUACUACUGAAUUGAGGAGAGAACAUAAUAUUCCUAUUCCUGUCAAUAAGGAUUCACUUUACAAGGUAAUAUUUGAUGAUGUGAAGCUACUUAUUGCAGCAGCACAUGGUUUCUCACUCUAAAUUCUGCCCCGGCAGUACUUCCGCUUCUCUUUCUUUAGUUUUUCUUUGUCCUGUUCUUGUCAAUUGUAAUUUUCUUUUCUUUGUGUCAACAGAAAAUUGAAAGGAAGUUGAAGAAGUUCAAUCCGUUGGUGAUUCCUAAGUCACUGCAAGCUGUGCUGCCAUUUGGAACAAAGCCAAAGGAUAUUCCCAGUAGGAAAAGGCCACUCCUUGAAAAUAGAAGAGCUGUUGUCAUGGAGCCUCACGAACGUAAAGUUCAUACUCUUGUUCAACAUCUUGGAUUAAUACAAAACGAGAAGGUAUGCACCUUAAGACAUAUUGUGUUUGAACCCUCGUCCUUAGUGCAACACUAAUACACAGUCACAACUUGCCAGAGUGGCAGGUUUAUAUCUGUUUGAGUAACCGAAUGUAAUAGAUGAUUACUUUUUUGAGUUUUGACACAUGGAGCUUGCGUAUCACCUUGAAAGCAAACCUCAGAAUAUGCCUGAAGUGUGACCAGUUUAAUAUUCCCGCUAUCUUGACUUGUUUUAAAGUUAUCGACCGUUUGCUAACCAUCUUGUAUUUGGCUUUUUCACUUUUGGGGUAGAAAGAGUAUAAGAAGGGGGUGUCCCCUAUCUGAAGAAACUGUUAUGUCAUUUUAUGUUUUGUCUUUGUUUUGAAGACUCUUUUAUGCAGUUCAAUAAUUUUUUAAGGUAUUUCAACUUCUCAUCUGCUUUUGCAGAUGAAGAAGCGCAAGCUAAAAGAUGAUAAAAAGAGGAAAGAAAUUGAAGUCCAGAAAGCCAAAGAAGAACAAGUGUCUAAAAAGCGCCAGAGGGAAGAACGACGGGAGAGAUACCGGGCACAAGAUAAAAUGAAGAAGAAAACUAGGAGAAGCGCAGAGGACUGAUGGAUGCACAAAUGUUUUAACAUACUAUGUUGCUUGGGGAAACUGGGUGGGUGAGCUGACUGAAAAGAAAGAUAAGUGGUACGCGGAUCACGUCUACAAAUACAGUGAGACUAGGGAUAUCUUUUGCAAUUCGCUGCAUUCGAGGAUUUGAUACUGUCUCAGAAACACGACCCGGAUCGGGGGUUCCGACAGUCCCCUUUGGAAAGAUAAAACGACGUGUGAGAAUUUUUAAUGUGCAUUUUUGUGCCUUGAAUGUGUUUGUUCUUGGCUUCCUGAAUUAACUUUUAGGAAGCGAUACAGAUGUGAGUGAUUUGUGAGUAAUGAGACUUGAAUUCGGGUACAACGUUUUUGUCAAAUGCAGGAUCAAGUUGGAUUGAAAAUUUUGAUUUUAAUUUCAAUCCGCUUUCAAUUAUAAAAUUUUUGAGUUUUGGAGCACCCCAAUCGAGUACUAGAUUCGCUGAAUACCGAGCACUUGAAAAAAUUUCGUCAAUUCAACUUAAAUAAUUGUACUUGUGAUAGGAGCAUAUUUAUGCGACUUAGUUAACAUGUUUUCUUGCAUUUACUUAGUUAGUUAUUGCUUAUAAGAGUGUUUUAAGCCAUUUUCGUGUGUUUAUAGGUCCUAAUAGCAAAAUUGGAAAGAAAGUGCAUUUUGGUGCAAUUUGGAGCAAUUUUGGGCCAAAAUGGAUUGCAUGCAUAUGGAGCAAGUGGGAUGGACGUUUUUGGUGUUUUAAAAAGGGUUUCAACACAUGCAAAAAUCUGAAUAAUGAAGUUGAAGUGUGGAAGUGUGCAGAUACAUACACUUAAGGAACAAUUUGAAAGGAAAAGAAGUGAAAGAUGCCAUUUGUUGGAUUGCUUUACAAGUUGUAUUCACAUUUUCAGCAACUACAAACAUUAUUGCAAGCUGAAAUGAUGCAUAGCAUGUGUGUAGAGGUGUAAAGUGGCCAAAAGUUGAUGUUUGCAAGAUGAAAUGAUGCAAAACAUGUGUGUGAAAGUUGUCUAACAGCUAGUACAUGUGGAAAAUGGAUGGAAUACAAGGCAAAUGCAUCAGAAAUUGAAGAAUGAAGGCACAUGGACAGCUACAAAGGAGUUGAAUUAGCAAGAGAGGAAUUAUUGCCUUUUGUUAAAGGCAAGACACAAUGAUAAAAGAGCAUGUAAAUUAGCUGUUUUUGCAUCAUUUUGGUCUUUGUUUGUAUUGUUUAUUGAAGCCACUUGAGUGAUUCUUUGCUUUGGAGCUUCUAUAAAUAGGGAGUGAAGGGAAGAACACAAAAUACAUCAAAAAUACCCCCUUUCAUCUCAGAAAUUCGUCCAGCCACAUUCCACACCAUUCUACACUCCCAAAUCACCAUACAUCCAUAAUUCCUUACCUUUGCCGCACCCUCCACCUAUCCUAAACAUUACUAUACCAUCUCACAUCCAUUCCUCCUUAAAAAUAUCACCCAAAACCUGUCCCCAAGUCUUGUGCCGCAGCAAGAGGAAGGAGGACAGUCCAUAGGCGUGCUUGUUGUUCAAAGUGGAUCGUUGGAGCAUCUAGGUGUUUUCUUUCUUUUGUUUUCAAUGUCUAAAUUUGUCUAUCUUUGCUUUGUGAGUAUGAGAAACUAAACCCCUCUUAGUUAGGGGGUGAUUCGAAACUAUGUUCAUGCUUGCAAUAUGAUUUGAUUACAUCCAGUUGUGAUUCAUAAGUUGUGAAUUCAAUUUACUUAUCCGUUCGUAUAAAAACUGAUUUGUGUAUGUUGGUUGAGAGUGCACGCUUAAUUUUCAUGCAUGAAUUUGACGCUAGAAUAUAAAGGAGUUUCACCUAAUCGUUAUGAACUUAUAUUCACAAGUAGUGAAGGUUGCUGGUCACAAUCACGUUAAGUAAAUUCUUGGCAUAAGUUUCAUGCAAAUCAUAGUAACGAGUGCCUCGUCAAUGCUUAUGUUUUUCAUAGAACUUAAUGAUUCUUGCUUGUAUAUCUAUUAUGCAAUUCAUGUAGGGAACUUGUAGGGAAUGUUUUGGGUUGUCGUAUGCAAUCAUCCAACCCAAUAACUUGUGGAAAAACUGAGGGUUAAUUAGUGCAAUUCACGGUUAAUUUGGGGUGUUGAGUAUUCAUAGUUUAUCGAAAAGCAACUGGAAAUUGUUUUGUAUGCAAGUGUGACAUGUGUGGAGAAGAACCUCCUAGCUAGCCUUCCAUCCAUAAGUUCAUUCAAAUUCGUUCUACAAUCUGUUUUAAUUACAAAGUUUUGUCUUGUUUUCAAUUUCAUCAAAACCAAAUCCCCCUUUAUUUUAAAGUGUUAGAUUAGUUAGAAAUCCAUUUAGUUUGUGUUUUUAAGUGUUUUGAUUCAAGUUGUAACCCAAUUUCGUCCAAAUUUGUGUUUGUGCUCUAAACUGCCCAGAAAGUGUUUUUAAGGCAGUUUUGAGUCUUUUGGUUGCUGUUUUGAGUCUUUUGCAUUGUUUUAUUGUUUUAAAUUUUAGUUUUGCAUUCUUUGAGUCUAGUUUAGUGUUUUAAACUUUGUUUUUACGUUUCUAAGUCAGUUUUCAAGUGUUUAGCAAUCCCUCCUAAUCCCCGGUUCAGAACGAUCCCUACUUACAUACUUUACUACAUUUGAUAAAAAGAGGGUUUAAUUUGUGUGUUAAGUUAAUUUUCGCAUCAACCUGUCCUUAUUUUUUUAGGGAAUUUUAACGAAAAGUUUCUAGUACUGUUCACUUUAACGAAAAAUCAUAUUUUUACACCAAAAAGUCAAUCUUGGUACUAUUCAUUUUACCUUUUAUUUUAUUCUUAUCGUUAAAAUUCAAACUUUUCAAGUUCUUUUCAUUAGUUUUUUUUUAGUGGUUGAUAUAUUGGAGUGAGGAUCCUCGUCGGAUUCUCUUUGUGAGGAUCCUGGGGAUCCUCAAAUCACAAAUCACAUUUGUUCAUCGUACAUCGUGCGAUUAGAAAUUAUCGUAAAUUCUUUUAUUUAAAAUUGAAUAUAAACAGUACCUAACGAAAACUGACCGCACUAUGUACGAUGAACGAAUGUGAUUGAAGGGUCUCCAGAAUCUUCACAAAGAGGAUCUGGCAAGGGUCCUCACUCAAGAUACUGUACUGGUCUUUUCAGUCAGUCCUUGCUAUGGAAGAGGAUCCUCUCCUGAGCUCAGGAUGGGGAUCCUCCUAACCAGCCCAUCUGGGCCGUUCAAAUUUAAUCCAACGGCUUCAAAUAUGAUGUCCUCUAAAAGUUAUAAUAAUUGCAACUGUUGGAUUAAAUUUGAACGACCCAGAUGGACUCGUCAGGAAGAUCCCUAUCCUGAACUCAAGAAAGGAUCCUCACAGCCUUGCUAUUUAUUUAUCUGUUUCCAGGCGUCGAUUUACUCGAAGAAUAAUUACAUCAUAUAUCAAUAUAUUUUAUUAUUUUUUGGGGCAACUCAGUGUAUAUCCCUUCACCCUGUAAUGUUAUUUAAAUUUAGGAGGUAUUUUUUGCCUGAUGCCUAUUUGUGGGGUGAGUGGGUGGGUGGGGGAAUAAGACCAUCUUUAAAAGAAAUGUCAAAUUAUAAGAGUUAAAUUACAAUUGAUGAUUGAUGUGACAAUUUGAAGUCUUAUGUUAAAUUUUAUACUUCUCCAAUGAAAUUGUCAAAAUGUUAUUUUAUUAUUUAAAUAGAUCGAGUGACACAACCCGACUUAAAUCAGGGCGUGCUGGCCGUCACGUGAGAGUGACAUAACCAUGUGCACGAUGCGGAAACAAUAAAGAUAUAAGGGAAAUACGAAUAAAUAAAAACCAAACUACUAGUAGUACUAGCUAAGAUAAAGUGCUAGUGCGAGGUUAAAUGUGAAAUACACAACCAAAGCAUAAAUAUCCUAGAUGUAGUUAAGCAGGACAAUUACUAAUUAUACAACACCUAAAGGUGAUCCUACAUUAAUGAUAUUUUGUCAGAACACUCGUCGAAAUCCUUGUGAUCUACCAAACACUUCUAACUAAAACCUAGAUGGGUGAAAAACAGAAAGUGUGAGUGGGCAAAAACAAAACUUUUCAAAAUCAUUUCAUUUCUCAAAAGGUCAAACCCCUCAUCAUAAAACCUAUAUAAUUUCCUAGAAAAUAAUAGUAAUAAUAUGAUGUAUCAGAAAUCAUACUCAAGAUGAAAAUCCAUAGAAGUAUACCAUGCCAGAGUAUCUCAAUGCAAUGCCAUGAGUAAUCUAGACAAAUAUAUCAAUGUUAGAUAUCGCAUCAACCAAAUCCCUCUAACUCAUUCUGUACGGCUGGGUCUAUAGCUCAUAAUCAAUCUCAAUCAUAUCAAAUCAAAUCUUGCACACGAGUUAGAACCACAUAAAGUGGUAUGUACCACAAGACUAGGUGUGAAAUAAAUAUGCUCUAAUGCUACGAUCACGUGAAGAUUGUGCAAAUAAUCGCGGGUCACCUACGAUUUGGAACCACUUAAAGUGGUUUGUAUGACAAGCCUGUGCACCUAACUUGGAUCCAAGGCAAGCAUAUGGUGCGGGAGGUGAACAUCACGUGAAGGACUGUGCCCUAACUCUGGGCGGGAGCACUAACACCAGGGUGCAGGUUUAUGAGCUCCUAAUACAUCACAUCAUAUUUCGCAUAAUUGAAGCAAUCUCAUAUCUUUAAUUUAUGAACUUUCCUGGCACUUACCUGUGCGUCUGCAGCACCAAUCAUAAAUAUAUGCAACUACUAAUGCAUAAAUAAAAUAGGCAGUACUUUGCAUGGCAUUUCAAAACGUAUAAUAAUUUAAAUUCAUUUUCUGGGAAAAAUUUCAAGUAUAUUGGUAUAUACGGAAAACCAAAAGUCUACUCACUGAUAUGUCGAAGGGUCGUAGCCCUUGAGCCUCGAUUGAUGGCGCUUGUUCUCAGGAUAGGUCUCACCUUUAUGCGAAAUAACUGAAUAAACGUUAUUUUAAGCACAUACACAAAACUAGGAAAUAACUUCUCAUACAAUGCUCAAAUGGGGUAUUUGAAUAUACCACCAUGACCUACUCAACCUCAGGAACAUCCCCAUGUUUUUAGAAAAAAAUUUCAUAACCCCACGCGCCGGCCAAGGCACAGUCAGACGCGCGGCCCACGCGCAGGCAUGUGCCUAGCACACCAAACGGAUUCCCUAACGGCGUUAGGGAAUAUUCCGUAAAAAAUCAGAAUAUGCCGUUAAUUAUACCUGACGGCGUCAGAAUAUUCCGUCACUUUGACGGAAUAUUCUUCUCCUUUCUUGGAUCGUCGAAGCCCGGCGCCGGUGCCGCUGCUAUCCUCGGAAACUAAGAAAAAAAUCAAACCUUUAAAUCUUCCUCAUUUCUCAACCAAAACUCACGAAAUUAUACCAAAUUGAAGCUUACAACGAGUAGAACAAAACCUUACCAACUUAAACAUGCCAAACUCAACUUCUCGACGUCCAAAACACUUCGUUUUUCUUUUCUGAGCUUUGAUAAUCCAUCCAAAUUGAAACUUGGCAAACUCAACUUCUCGAUGUCCAAAACACUUCGUUUUUCUUCUCUGAGCUUUGUGAAGACGUUCUUAAGGCUCACUAGCAGCUUAAAAUCUCCUAAAAACUUUACAUUCAUAAUCACAUGAAUAGUGCCUCAAAACUGGGAUUUCUGGUUCUCGGGAAAAUGAGGUCUUCACGUCAAACUAAGGGCAUGGAUGAGCUCCUGAGUUCACAAGGAUCACAAAGACCACCUUAACAGCCUUGAUCCGUGACUAGAAGAGAGGGCUUGAAGUUUGUUCGUACGCUUGUAUGGAAAAUGGAAGAAAUCCGAGAGAGAAGGAGGAGAAAGAGUCAACGGGUAAGGGAAUGGGUUGGUGUGAGUGAGCGGUCCAAUUUGCAGCCAAUCACAACAAACAACAACCAUAAAUUUUAAGUUCCAAAAACUUAGGAACUAAUUAAAUUAGUCUAAAACCCAAACUCAAACCACAACAUCACACAUAAUGUACUCAACAUCCAAGGGUAUUCUAGACAUUUCACAUAAUGAAGGAAUAUCUUUCGGGACGGGCUGUCACAACCUACCCCCAUUAAGAAAAUUUCGUCCCUGAAAUUCACGCAAUAAAUAUAAUCCACUAAUAAUCAUAAAACAACCUUGGAUACAUAUCCCUCAUCCGGUCUUUAGUCUCCCAAGUGGCUUCUUCCACUGAGUGAUUUCUCCACAAAACCUUCACUAGGCGCACCGUCUUAUUCCUCAGAAUCUUAUCUUUCCAAUCCAAAAUAGUCACUGGCUCCUCAUCAUAAGUCAAAUCCGGAUUAAUUUCCAAAGGUUGAAGAUGUAUCACAUGAGAAGGAUCUGAGAUGUAAUGACAAAGCAUAGAGACAUGAAAGACAUCAUGCACUUUUGAUAACUCUGGAGGCAACUCAAGCCUGUAAGCAACCUCACCGACUCGCUCAAUGAUCAUAUACGGUCCAAUGUACCUAGGACUCAGCCUGCCUUUCUUUCCAAACCGCACUACACCUUUCCAUGGUGUUAGCUUUAGAAAUACCCAAUCACCUACAUUAUGCAUUCGGUCAGUGGCAUGUCUGUCUGCUAGACUCUUCUGUCAAUCCUGGGCCAUUUUCAGGUUAGACUUAAUCACCUGAACAUUUUGCGUAGUCUCAUCCACGAUCUCUGGGCCCGUCAAAACUCUUUCGCCCACCUCUGACCAACAUAGAGGUGUACAACAAGAUUUGCCAUAAAGUGCCUCGAAAGGUGACAUACCAAUACUUGAAUGAAAGCUAUUGUUGUAGGAAAAUUCCAUCAAAUCCAACCGCUUAUGCCAAGCGUCACCAAACUACAAUACUGAAGAUCUCAACAUAUCUUCCAACGUCUGAAUAGUCCUCUCUGAUUGUCCAUUUGUUUAAGGAUGAUAUGCUGUACUAUAAAGUAAUCUCGAACCAAGAGCUUCCUGGAAUGCUAUCCAGAAUUUAGAAGUAAAUCUUGGAUCCUGAUCCGAGAUAAUACUAACUGGAAUCCCAUGGUACUGCACGAUCUUCGAUAUAAAUAAUUCAGCUAAUCGGCUUAAAGGAUAUUUCUCCCUCAUAGGAAUAAAAUGUGCUGACUUAGUAAGCCGAUCAACUAUCACCCAGAUGCCAUCAUAACCGUUUUGUGUAUGAGGUAGUUUGUACACAAAAUCCAUAGUAAUAUUUUCCCAUUUCCAUUGCGGAACGGGAAAUGGUUGCAUCAAUCCAAAAGGCUUCUUUCUUUCUGCUUUGACUUGAUGACAAAUUAUACACCUACUCACAUAUUCAACAAUUUUGCUUUUCAUACCUAGCCAAUAAUAAAACGGUCGAAUGGUAUGAUACCUUUUUGUACCUCUUGGAUGCAUUGCAUAAGCUGAAAUAUGUGCUUCAUCAAGAAUUGCUUUCUUUAAUUCCAUAUUAUUCGGCACAUACAUCCUACUCUCCUGCAUAAGCAUGCCACCAGUUUCCUGAAUUUUGAAGUUUUUCUUUUUCCCCUGAUUCCUUGAUUGAAUUAUUUCCUGGGUCUCACCAUCAUUCAUCUGGGCUUCAAGUACACGAUUAAUUAAAAUUGGCCUGACUUGAAAAUUAGCAAGUAAGGUUUCCUCUCGAUCUUCCACUCUUAACUCCACUCAGUGGACCUUAAAUCUGCAAGAAGAGGAACAUGACAAUCAUAAAUGGCAUUAAGUCUAGCUGGAGUCUUUCUACUAAGAGCAUCAGCCACUACAUUCACACGACCAGGGUGAUACUUAAUCGUGCAAUCGUAAUCACUAAGCAACUCAAUCCACCUUCGUUGCCGAAGAUUAAGAUUCCUCUGAGUAAAAAGAUACUGAAGACUUUUAUGAUCUGUGAAGAUCUUACAUUUCUCACCAUAUAGAUAAUGUCUCCAAAUCUUCAAAGCAAAGAUAAUAGCUGCUAACUCUAGAUCAUGAGUAGAAUAAUUCAUCUCAUGAGGCUUCAAUUGUCUUGAAGCAUAAGCAAUCACCCUACCAUGUUGCAUCAACACACAUCCCAAACCAUUCAAGGAAGCAUCACUGUAGACCUCAAAAUUACCACUAUCAUCUGGGAGUGCCAAAACAGGUGCAUGAGUGAGAUAAUACUUUAACUACUGAAAACUUUGCUCACAAUUAUCAUCCCACUCAAACUUAACUUCUUUUCUAGUCAACCUCGUUAAUGGCAAAGCAAUGACUAAAAAAUCCUUAACAAACCAUCUAUAAUAAACUGUUAGACCAAGAAAACUUCGUACCUCGGUGACGGUUCGAGGUUGCUCCUAAUUUUCAACAGCUGCCACUUUUUUAGAAUCCACCUGAAUACCUUGAGCAGAAAUGACAUGUCCCAAAAAUGCCACUUGAUUUAACCAAAAUUGGCAUUUGCUAAACUUAGCAUACAACUGAUGUUCCCUUAAUUUCUUCAACACCAAAGUAAGAUGUCGAACAUGUUUUGCUUUAGACUUAGAAUAUGCCAAAAUGUCAUGAAUAAAAAGAAUGAUAAACCUGUCUAUAUAUGGUUGGAAUACCCGAUUCAUCAAAUCCAUGAAAGCUGCUGGCGCAUUCGUUAAUUCGAAUGGCAUCACAAGAAACUCAUAAUGACCAUAACGAGUCCUGAAGGCAGUCUUAGUGACAUCCUCACUGCUGAUCUUCAAUUGGUAAUAACCAGACCUCAAACCAAUCUUAGAAAACACACAGGCACCUCAAAGCUGAUCAAACAAAUCAUCUAUACGUGGCAACGGAUAACAAUUUUUAAUUGUUACCCGAUUCAAUUGCCUAUAAUCAAUACAUAGCCUCAAAGUCCCGUCUUUCUUCCUUACAAACAAAACUGGAGCUCCCUAGGGUGAAGUACUAAGCUGAAUAAAACCUUUAUCGAUUAAUUCCUACAACUGGACUUUCAAUUCCCUCAAUUCAGCAUGAGCCAUUCUAUAUGAAGUCAAAGAUAUAGGAUUCGUACCUGGAAGUAAAUCAAUAAUGAACUCCACAUCUCGGUCUGGCGGCAAUCCAGGUAAAUCAUCAGGGAAUACAUCGGGAAAAUGCCUAACUACUCGAACAUCCUCCACACUACUACAAGCAACAUCAUUCAGCACUACAUGAGCUACAUAUCCCUGGCAACCUUUUGAUAACAACCUUUUUACUCUUACAGCAGAAAUAACACCAUGCCUCACCCCAUUACAUUCACCCACGAAAGUAACUACAGGUAAUCCAGGACGAUGGAAAGUAACUGUUUUCCUGUAGCAAUCUAUGUUGGCACGAUUAUAAUGCAGCCAAUCUGUGCCUAAAAUCAUAUCAAAAUCAACAAUAUCUAAUGGGAUAAAAUUAGCUGGCAUAAGCACAUCUUCUACCAUCACUGGACAUCCUGGAUAUGCAUAAUCAACAUAACAUCUCUCCCCUCUAGGCAUAGCAAACUCUAAAUCAUACCUUAGAGGUGUAGGAUGAGGUUGCGUCACUUGAGCAAAUGUAUGAGAAAUGACGGAAUGCAUAGCACCACAAUCAAUUAAAACUCUAGCAAAGUGACCAAGAAUGUUUAAUGUACCCAUGAUCAAGUCCGUAUGAUUAUGAGCAUCUUGCAGAGAUAUAUUGUUAAUACGUCCUUGGGCUUGUUGUCGUCCCCCACGAGCUCUAUUAGCUUGAUUUCUUGCCCCUGCACACUUCGCCCCUAAUUUGGUUGACUAGAUUGCCUUAAAGAUCCUCAACUGCUGGAGGCAAUCUCUACCUGCUGGGGUUGUCCUCCCUGGUACCAUUAAGAUCCACCAGUUGGAAUGGGAGGAUACGGUGUAUACCUUCCAGGAUAUUGAGAAUACCCACUUUAGUAAUAAGGAUCUUGCGAAUACUGAUAUGAUCCUAGAGCAUAAGGAGCGGCAUCGCCCUGAUAAUGGUAAUCACCACCUCGUCCCAUCUGACCAUAACUACCAGACCCUGGAACUUGCUGGAUCAGCGUUGGUGGUGGCAUAGAAGGCUGCUAAGGCCUUUGCUGACUCUGGGGCCAAUUUAUAGCUCUAUGUCCAAUCUGUCCAUAAGUAAAAUAUCCAUUGCUGCCUCUCCUACCUCCGGAUGAUAGCGAGACAAGUCAGUGAAUCUUCUACAAUACUCAUUUGCCGUCAUCUUCCCCUGCUUUAAUUGAGUAAACUCUUGCUUUUGGCGAUCAAUAUACUCAGGGGGAAUAAACCUUUUCUGAAACAAUUGUUUAAACACUUCCCAAUCAGCUGCUUCCUAUGGUGACAACUGAUAAGACUCUUGUCUCCACUAGGAUGCAGGCUUUAGACCCAGAAACCAGGUAGUCAUCUCGACCCACUUAUCAGGAGGAAGAUUCCCCUGACUCUACAUUACAAGGAAAGUUUUCUCAAGAUGAUUGAUCCAUUUCUCCGCUCCUUCAUGUCCUUCAUUCCCCUUAAAAUGAUUCAGCUUCAGAUUAUACACAGUCUUAAGAGAUGUUCUUUGGGGAAGACAAAGCAAAGACUGAAUGGCAUUAGCUAUAGCUUCCCCUAAUUGAGCUAUAUCGGGGAAACUAGGCUCAACAGAAGGACGUGGAUCUGUACAAGGUGGCAUAGUUCUGACAGAAGCCAUAAAAAUAAUUCGAAGAUUCACAAGAUAUGCAGGAUUGCAAACCUAAUGCUCAUAUACCAAACUGACACACCCCAACCUAAAUCAGGGCGUGUUGGCCGUCACGUGAGAGUGACGUAACCAUGUGCACAGUGCAGAAGCAAUAAAGAUAUAAGGGAAAUACGAAUGAAUAAAAACCAAACUACUAGCAGUACUAGCUAAGAUAAAGUUCUAGUGCGAGGUUAAAUGUGAAAUACACAACCAGAGCAUAAAUAUCCUAGAUGCAGUCAAGCAGGACAAGUACUAAUUAUACAACACCUGAAUGUGAUCUUACAUUAAUGAUAUUCUGUCAGAACCCCCGUCGAAAUCCUCGUGAUCCACCAAGCACUUCUACCUAAAACCUGGAGGGGCGCAAAACAGAAAGAGUGAGUGGGCAAAAACAAAGCUUUUCAAAAUUAUUUCAUUUCUCAAAAGUUCUAACCCUUCGCCGUAAAACUUGUAUAAUUUCCCAGAAAAUAAUAGUAAUAAUAUGCUGUAUCAUAAAUCAUACUCAAGAUGAAAAUCCAUAGAAGUAUACCAUGCCAGAGUAUCUCAAUGCAAUGGCAUGAGUAAUCUAGACAAAUAUAUCAAUGUCAGAUAUCGCAUCAGCCAAAUCCCUCUAACUCAAUCUGUACAGCCGAGUCUAUAGCUCAUAAUCAAUCUUAAUCAUAUCAAAUCAAAUCCUGCACAUGAGUUGGAACCACCUAAAGUAGUCUGUACGACAAGACUAGGUGUGAAACAAAUAUGCUUUAGUGCUACGAUCACAUGAAGACUAUGCCAAUAAUCGCGGGUCACCUACGAGUCAGAACCACCUAAAGUGAUCUAUACGACAAACCUGUGCACCUAACUUGGAUCCAAGGCGAGCAUAUGGUGCGUGAGGUGAACAUCACGUGAAGGACUGUGCCCUAACUCUAGGCAAGAGAACUAACACCGAGGUGUAGGUUUAUGAGCUCUCAAUACAUCCCAUCAUAUUUCGCAUAACUAAAGCAAUCUCAUAUCUUUACUUUAUGAACUUACUUGGCACUUACCUGUGCGUCUGCAGCACCAAUCAUAAAUAUAUGCAACUACUAAUGCAUAAAUAAAAUAGGCAGAUACUUUGCAUGGCAUUUCAAAACGUAUAAUCAUUUAAAUUCAUUUUCUGGGAAAAAUCUCAAGUAUAUAGGUAUAUAAGGAAAACCAAAACUUCACUCACUGAUAUGUUGAAGGGUCGUAGCCCCUGAGCCUUGAUUGAUGGCGCUCGUCCUUAGGAUAGGUCUCACCUAUAUGCGAAAUAACUGACUAAACGUUAUUUUAAGCACAUACACAAAACUAGGAAAUAACUUCUCAUACAAUACUCAAAUGGGGUAUUUGAAUAUAUCAUCAUGACCUACUCAACCUCAGGAACAUCCCCAUGUUUUUAGAAAAAAAAUUCAUGACCCCACGCACCCUCAUGCGCUGGCCAAGGCAUAGCCAAACACGCGGCCCAUGCGUAGGCACGUGCCUGGCACACCAGACGAAUUCCGUAAAAAAUCAGAAUAUGCCGUUAAUUAUACCUGACGGCAUCAAAAUAUUCCGUCAACUUUGACGGAAUAUUCUUCUCCUUCUUCCUUGGAUCGCCGGAGCCUGGCGCCAGUGCCGCUGCUAUCGCAGAAAACUGGGAGAAAAAUCAAACCUUCAUAUCUUCCUCAUUUCUCAACCAAAACUCACGAAAUUUAUACGAAAUUGAAGCUUACAAUGAGUAGAACAAAACCUUACCAAUUUAAAGCCCUAAAAUCCACGGGAUUUAGCCAAAGAAGCCUUGAUAAUCGUGCCAAAAUUGAAACUUGCCAAACUCAACUUCUCGACGUCUAAAACACUUCGUUUUUUUUUCUCUGAGCUUCGCGAAGAUGUGCAUAGCUCACUAGUAGCUUAAAAUCUCCUAAAAACUUUACAUUCACGAUCACAUGAACAAUGGCUCAAAACUGGGAUUUCUGGUUCUUGGGAAAAUGAGGUCUUCACAUCAAACUAAAGGCAUGGAUGAGCUCUUGAGUUCACAAGGAUCACAAAGACCACCUUCACAUCCUUGAUCCGUGACUGGAAUGGAGGGUUUGAAGUUUGUCUGUAUGCUUGUACGGAAAAUGGAAGAAAUCGAAGAGAGAGGGAGAAGAGAGAGUCAACAGGUAAGGGAAUGGGUUGGUGUGUGUGUGUGGUCCAGUUUACAACCAAUCACAACAAACAACAGCCAUAAAUUUUAAGUUCCAAAAACUUAGGAACUAAUUAAAUUAGUCUAAAACCCAAACUCAAACCACAACAUCACACACAAUGUACUCAACAUCCAAGGGUAUUCUACACAUUUCACAUAAUCAAGGAAUAUCUUUCGAGACGGGCUGUCACAUUGAGCUUUAUAUGGUUAUAGAUAUAAAAAAAAUGUUGAAACAAAAUUUUUAUUUGUUGAAAUGUUAGUGAAAUAAAGACCCACCAUUAAAAUGAAUUAAAAAUAAAUUUGACAUUGAUGUCAAAUUUGAUUCCAAAUUACAAAGCCUCAAAUCCAAUCAACAAGUAAUACUUCAGUUGGAGAGACUUUUGAUGUCAAAUAUGCACAAUGGCAUUCUAUCUAAGAUUUUAAAAUCUCCUUUGAAGAUGCUCUAAUAGAUGCACAACCAUGUGUUAUUGCCUGAUGUCAGUCAGUUAGGUCCCAAAAAAAAUUCCUUUUGCAACAACAUCUUGCGCUUUAAUGUAUACAUGGAAUAAUUAUUAUGUUGAACAAAAAUAAAAAAAUAAAAAAUAAUUAGUUAAGGGAGAUUUUAAAUUCGGUCUUUAGUCAUUAACACUCUUUGACUAAAAUCUUAAUGGUAUUUAAAUUUUGGUCAAAGAGUCUUGACUUUGUACAUCUCAUUAUAUUACUAUUAAUAUGACACACCACGACCCGGAAUGUCCACCUGGAUUCCGAAUUGAGCUGUGUUGGCUGACACCAUAAGAAUGAUGAAGCCAUAAAAUGUAGUAAUUUGGAAAAUGUGAAUUUAAAUCUAAAAGUGCCUAAAUAUAAGAGUGCGCUUCACACGUGAUGUCAGAGCAUAAGUAAAGUAUAAGAGAAGUAGGAUGAGAAUUAUACCAUCGAAGGUAAUCUCCUAAACCAUGAUUUUCCAAGAAUACUAGUCGACAUGCAAACACGUCCAUUAAAACCUGGAGGGGCGAAUAAGGGUAAGUGGGCCUAAAAAUAAAGUUUUAUAAAAACCUUUUCAAAAACAUAAUAACCCCUCGCCGUAAAACAAAUAGAGUCUAAAAAAUAUACAUACCACGUAUAGUAUAAAAAUACUUACUGUAGAGAAUGCAAUACUUCACAAUAUUUCGUAAAUAAACACCUAACAUCCGGUAAUCACAAAAUCUCGCAUAAACAAACAUAUCAUAUCGAGUGCUCAUUGACAUAUGCUGAUACACGAGUUCAUGCAUAGGUAAUCUGACAUGAACAUGACUUAGUGUAAUAAUGAUUUACAUUCUAGUACUACAAUCAUGUGAAGACUGGAACUAUGCACAUCACAUACGAGUCCUAAUUGCCUAUAGCAAUCCAGGACAUGACUGACUCCUACAAUGGACCCAAAGUGAGUCUACAAUGCCAUGUGAACAUUGUUGUUGAUAAUUGCAAGUGUACAAUAUCAUCCAAGUAAUAUAGUGAUAAGUAGAGUGUCGUUUAAACAAGGAUUGGAUUAACCUAAAUUUACUAUUGAGAUUGACUCCAAACUAAACAUAAAUAAAAGAAGGAUUAUGUUGACAAAUUCAACUAUGCUAAGAAACCAAACGAACGUGAAAAUAACAAUUGAUCGAACACGAAGUAAAAUUGUAUGAAUUAUGAAAGAUUAAUAUAUUGAAGCACUAGGACAUCAAGUUCCUCAUUCUCAAUCCCAUCUAUUCCCGUUAUUCAUAUUAACAUCAAAUUAUUCCCAUGUUGCUAGCAAUUAUUCCUUGAUUCGUCAAUACUUCUUGUCAAAAUAUACUAACCGUGUUUCUAACUAUCUACCCAUUCUAUGUCUAGCCACAUAUAUAGAUAAUCGAAACCCUUUAUGCUAAAUGGAUAAUUACACAAUACUACACGAAUCAUAACCAGUAUGUCUACUCAAUUAUGUAAUUCAUGGUAAUUGUUAUGAGAAGCAAUCUACUAAACUCAGCCUAUCGGUCACAAUUUAGAUCUCCAUGCAAAUAAUGGCCAGUUAUUUGAUAACAAUAAAGCACAAUAACAAUUACUCAACAUGGAAAUUAACUGAGAUUAAUAUAAAAUAACAAGAAUUAGAUGUUCAUGAUAAGAGUACACCCUAGUCCUAGCAAAAGGACUUAGUUCAUGAUUAAACUAAUGACAAACAUGGAUGAAUUCGAUGACAUAAAAAAACCCAAAACUCCAAUUCUGUAUCUGUAUGCGAUAAGCCCUGAGAAUCUGCAACCUUCUGUGAAGUUGUCCCUCUCCAAGUCUAUGAGUGUGUGUGAUAUGUCCCCCUUUUUUUUUUUUCUCCUUUCUUAUGGCUCUGGGCUCCUCCCUUUUAUAUGUGCCCUCUUUCUUUUAUUUUCUUUAAAAAUCCCUCUGCUCUUCACGUGCCUUUUGGACUCUCAAAACCCCAUUUCUUUUGGGAACAACGUCCCCGCAUACUUGGACCGCCUAAAUAUCUUGGGCUUGCUUAAUGAUCCAAUUUCCUAUAUGAUAUAUUGUUCCAUUCUUUGCUCCAUAUAUUGUUCCAUUCUUUACUCCAGCCCAUCAGCUUACAUCCCACUUGGUAAUUCUUUGUGUUUCUCUAAUUUAAGCUUCUAAUUCACUGCUUUAUUCACAAAACAUGUUUUCUACAAAAACUCACAAGACACAUUAAACUCACCAAUUUAAUAUAAAAUCACGUCUAAAUAAUAUGUGUAAGAGGUAUAAAAGCUACAUAUAAAAUCAACCUAACAAAUACCCCCAAACCUAUCUUUUGCCAGUCCUCGAGCAAAACAUAAAACAAAAAUAAGAAACUGACUAAAAUAAAUCUAACUAAGCCCACUUUCGUUGGCGAAACGAUUGCACUGAGCAUGUGCAACAAGCCUUUAAACCCCUAGGUGUCACUAGUUGGAGGAGUUGUGUCUCCUGAGGGUUUACCAGUUACGCUACCCACAAACGUUUCACUAAAAAGCAAAGGUGUUAUAGUUAUCACUUCCAUCAAUUAAUGAAAACCAAUGCAUGCCAAAUCACACUUCCAAAACUAAAGUUAUGCCCUUAUAAAUCAAUGCAUCACAAUGGAAAGUAUGUAACCAACAUCCCAAGCACUCGGGCUUAAAAAACAUCCACACUUGGCAUGUGUACAAAUUCGCCUCGACUCUAAGCCUCACUAGAUAUCACUCAAUUUUCUCACAAAACCUAAGCUUUCUCUCUUAACAAGCAUAUGUGAUGAUUUUAUGCAAAAGGAAUCAAUAUAUAAUCACAUAUGAUCAACAUUGAAAAACAGCAAAUUCUAAUGUGAUCCAUGGCGUCCAGGACUCACGUUCUAAUGAAUGGUACAAUUUCUUUUUUUUUAAAGCCUCCCAACAAGCGUUUUUUUUUUCUUUCUUUUUCUUUCUUUUGCUAAGUGUUUGACUUCAAUGGGGUUAAUGGAGCACACAAAAGUGUAGGAAAUAGGCCUUUUAGUAAUGGAAAACACGCAUAGCCUAACAUCGUUUCUAUAGUUUUGUCUAACUCAAUGGCAAAAACACCCAACAUAUAUUAAACUUCUUUAGUACCCAAUGCAAAAUAAUGUUAAUGAGAUCAUAAAAAUUAAAGAAAGGAAUUGAAAAGUGUUUAAGAGUAGAAACAAAUAAACCCUCUCAAGAAAAGCAUAGGCUCAACAACUCACAUGGGUAGUCUUCACUAUUUCUCCACAUCAUCCAAACAUGGACAGUUUGUCCACCAAAGUACUUGAGACAUGGAAAAAUGAAUGGUAAAAAAAUGUGAUGCAAAAACUUUCUAGGCAACCCUUUAGCAACUUAUGCUUCCAAGCUCUUAUUGUUUCCAACAAAUUCUAACACCCAAUCCCAAAAAUUUUAAUUCCUACCUCAUACUUUAAGUUUUAACAACACAAUUCAUCACAUAAAGAUGUAUAAAUAUAAGCAUGGAAGAAAAUGAGAUAAUAGGAAAAGAAUACACCUAUUUUUGGGUAUCAUGGAAGAAGGAAUGGCUUUAAAAACAAUGAAUUCCGAGCCAAAAUUGUUGUCUUCAUCAUAGGAUAAAAAUCUGCAAAAAUAAGCAAAACUAACUUUUAGUGACAAAAACAAUUCCCAGAAACUGUUGCUAAAAGUAUGAACAAGCCUUUUGUGACAGAGAAAAUCUUUGAAGAUCGUCACUAAAGCUUUUUUAUAACAGAAAAUCUGCAGAAAUUAUGCAGCAAUUUUACAUGUUUAUUUUCACUUUUUGAGCUUCUAAACCUCCCAAUUCACAAUGUAGGUCGAAUUUCUAUCCCAAAACUAUUCCAACACAGCAUAUUAAACAUUCUAAGGGCUGGUUUGGUAUUGCUGUGCUUUGAAAAAAAGCUGCUGUGAGAAUAAUCGGUUGUUCUGUGAAAAUAAGCAGUUGUGAAAUAAAUCAGCAAAGUGUUUGGUAAACUUUUUUGUAAAAGUGCUUUUGGAAAAAAAAGCAGUCUGAUAGUGGAUCUUUUCAUUAAAGGAGCACUGUAGCUCCAUGUGCUUUGAAAAAAAGCCAUUUUUCCAAAGCUACAAAUAGCAGCUUCAGCUUUUUCCUUUGAUUUCAGCUUAUUCUCACAGCAGCUUCCAAAAUAAGCCUUUUUUUUUUCAGUUUACCAAACACCUAAAACCCUCACAGCUUUUUUUCAUGGGUGCUUUUUUUUUUUAAGCAUCUCACUCCCAAACCACCCCUAAACAUGUUGGCAUCAUCAAAUUAACUUGAAAAACAUCCAAAAUUAAUUUAGGUAGCUAAGUUGAUUAUGACCAAAAUAUGAACUCAAAGUGCAAUUUGUAAUUUCUUUGGCAUAUAACAACAAAACCAAUCCAAACACAUUUGAAAUGACAAACUAAACAUGUUCAAAUCAUCAUGUGGGUGAAAGAAAUCAAUAUUAUUAAACUUGGAACAUAAAAACUUUAGUUGUUGACCUUAAAAACAAAAAUUCAAAUGAAUCAACCAAACUAAAAAAAAAAAAAAAAAACUAUUCUCUCCCCCCCAAACCUAAACUAAACAUUGUCCUCAAUCUAAAAUCACAACAUAAAGAUGCAAUGAGUAGUAUGGGACAAAAAGGAAGAAAAUGCAAAAUUAAUAAACAAGGAAAGGAACGAUUGAACCUGGUUGGGUUGCCUCCCAACAAGCACUUAGUUUAAAGUCCUCAACCCAACUUGGCAUUACAAUCACUUUGGAGAAGCAAGGGUCACAACAUUCGUGUUUCACUCAAAAUUGGCAGAAAGAUACGGCUUCAAUUGCUGUCCAUUAACCUUGAAUGUAGUAUUUGUUGUAUGAUCACGAAUUUCAAUCGUUCCAUAUGGAAAAACUUGAACAACUGUAAAAGGACCAAACCAUCGUGUUCGCAACUUCCCAAAGAAGAGUUUCAGCCGAGAAUUAAACAAAAGAACUUGCCAGCCAAUAUAAAACUCACGACAAAGAAUAUGUUGAUCAUGCCACUUUUUGGUACGUUCCUUGUAGAUUUUAGCAUUUUCAUAUGCAUCAUUCCGAAAUUCUUUCAUCUCGUUCAAUUGAAGAUCUUUUUUUUCUCCCACUGCAUCCAUCUCAAAAUUAAGCUUCUUCACUGCCCAAAAAAGCUUUAUGCUCCAAUUCCACAGGUAGAUGACAUGCUUUUCCAAACACUAAUCGAUACGGAGACAUGCCAAUUGGAGUCUUGAAUGCAGUCCGAUAAGCCCACAAUGCAUCAUCCAACUUUACAGCCCAAUCUUUGCAUGAAAGUCUUACAGUCUUCUCUAAAAUCUGUUUGAUCUCUCGAUUAGAAAUCUUAGCCUGCCCACUAGUUUGUGGAUGAUAGGGUGUAGUAACUUUAUGAAUGAUUCCAUAUUUCGCCAAGAGAGCAUUGAAGUGACGAUUACAAAAGUGGUUGCCUCCAUCACUAACAAUGGCAUGCGGGGUGCCAAAACGAGUGAAAAUAUGCUUCCGGAGAAAAUGAACAACAACCUUAGCAUCAUUAGUGCGUAGAGGGAUUGCUUCAACCCAUUUUGAAACAUAAUCCACAACUACCAAGAUAUAUUGAUUGCCAUAAGAUGAUGGAAAUGGUCCCAUGAAGUCAAUACCCCGUACAUAAAAAAGUUCGACUUCUAGAAUAUCAUUCAACGACAUUUGAUGUCUACUUGAGAUAUUUCCAACACGGUGGCAGCGAUCACAUACAUAAACAAAAGUAUGGGAAUCCUUAACCAAUGUAGGCCACCAAAAACCAGAUUGUAGUACCUUGGCAGCAGUCUUUGUAGCACCAAAAUGACCACCACAUGCUAGAGAAUGGCAAUGUCACAGGAUUUCCUCCAUCUCGUCAUCAAGAAAACACCGUCUUAUACAUUGAUCUGGACAAUGCUUCCACAAAUACGGCUCAUCCCAAUAGUAAUGUCUGACUAACGAAAUGGAUCUUUUCUUUUAUUGCCAAGUCAAAUUAGGAGGCAUGAUAUCACUAACUAAAUAAUUGACAUAAUUUGCAUACCAAGGUGUGACUGAAGAUUUAAUGGUAAAGAGUUGCUCAUUAAGGAAUGUUUCAGAAAUCAGAACUAAAUCAUUGUCACCUUCAUGAUGCACAAUUCGAGAAAGAUGAUCUGCCACCACAUUUUUAGACCCCUUUUUAUCUCGUAUCUCUAAAUCAAACUCUUGUAGUAAUAACACCCAUCGAAUCAACCGAGGCUUUGCAUCUUUCUUGGAUAAUAAAUACUUCAAAGUUGAAUGAUCGGUGUAGAUAAUUACCCUUGAACUAAUGAGAUAAGAACGGAAUUUGUCUAAAGCAAAGACAACGGCUAGAGGCUCUUUCUCGGUAGUGGCAUAAUUUAGUUGUGCAUCAUUGAGAGUUCGACUAGCAUAAUAAAUCACAUGCAAGAGCUUGUCUCUUCGUUGACCCAAGACUUCUCCAAUAUCAUAGUCACUUGCAUCACACAUAAUCUCAAAAGGUAAUUCCCAAUCCAGUGCAACUAUCACAGGGACUGUCGCGAGCUUCAUUUUCAACACAUUGAAUGACUCAAGACAUGAUGAAUUGAAACAAACUUUGCUUCUUUAAGGAGCAAGUUACACAACGGUUUUGUAAUCUUCGAGAAAUCCUUAAUAAAACGUUGAUAAAAACCAGCACGACCAAGGAAACUUCAAACUUCUUUGUUGGAAGUGGGUGGCGGUAACUUUGAAAUUGUCUCAAUUUUCGCCUUGUCUACCUUGAUGCCUUUGACUCAAACUUUAUGACCCAAAACAAUCCCUUCAUGCACCAUAAAGUGACAUUUUUUCCAAUUUAGAACUAAAUUGGUUUCUUCACAUCGUUGCAACACCGAGGACAAAUUAUCCAGACAAGAAUCAAACGAUGAGCAAAAAACAGAGAAGUCAUCCAUGAAUACCUCAAUACAACGCUCUACCAAGUCAGAAAAAAUACUAAUCAUACACCUUUGAAAAGUAGCAGGCGCAUUACACAACCCAAAAGGCAUACGCCUAUACGCAAAAGUACCGAAAGGGCAUGUGAAUGUCGUCUUUUCUUGGUCUUCCGGUGCAAUCGGAAUUUGAUUAUAACCAGAAUAUCCAUCUAAAAAACAAUAGUAAGCACAUCCAGCAAGUCUAUCCAACAUCAAAUCAAUGAACAAAAAAAGAAAAUGAUCUUUUCGAGUCUCAUUGUUCAAUUUCCUAUAAUCAGUGCAUACUCUCCAUCCUGUUGUAGUCCUCGUCGGAAUUAACUCAUUCUUGUUAUUCUUCACCACUGUAACUCCACCCUUUUUCGGUACCAAAUGCAAAGCACUCACCCAUUUACUAUCUGGAAUUAGAUAUAUUAUUCCAGCGUCUAAUAACUUCAAAAUCUCAGCUCGAACCACCUCCUUCAUAUUUGGAUUUAAUUUGCAUUGAUGCUCAACUGAAGGCUUGUAAUUGUCUUCCAACAAGAUCCGAUGCAUACAAACGGGCGGACUAUUUCCUUUAAUAUCAGCAAUACUCCACCCAAUUGCUAUUCUAUGCCUUCUUAACACUCUCAAUAAUUUUUCUUCUCCAACUUCACUCAAAUUAGCAGAAAUUAUAACAGGUAAAGUCUCAGCAGCUUCCAAGAAAGCAUACUUUAAAUGUGACGACAAUGGUUUCAAAUUUAAGGUAGAUGUGGCUAUGAUACUUGGCUGCGAUUUUGAAGGUGCAGGUCCAAGGUCUUCGAACUCCAACCAUCCAUUCUUUGCAACCAAUUUAAAAGCAUCCAAGUAAAGAGCACAUUCCGCUAAAAGUUGAUUUUCAUCUUCUGAAGUAGCAACAUGAACUAGUGCAGCUUCCAUAGGAUCAUUGGGUUUCUCAACUUUGAAUUUUUUUGAAAUAGUGGUAUCAACUAGAUCGACACAAGAACAAUCCUCCGCUUCUCUUGGAAAUUUUCCAGCCUCGAACACUUUGAAUGUUGCUUUCUCCUCCCCAAUUCUCAAUGUCAAAACCCAUUGUUCCACAUCAAUUAAAGUCCUUGCUGUGAUAAGAAAUGGCCGACCCAAAAUUAACCGAGUCUCAAAAUCUUCUUCCAUAUCCAACACUAAGAAAUCUGCUAGGAAAAUCAGCUUGUUAACCUUCACUAACACAUCUUCGAUAAUUCCCUCUAGAUAUGCAAUUGAUCUAUCCGCCAUCUGCAAAGAAACAGUAGUGGGUUUAAUUUCACAUAUUCCAAUGUUCUUAGCAACAGAUAACGGUAAUAAUUUAAUACUAGAACCCAAAUCACAUAACGCUUUUUUAAAUAAAUUAAUGCCAAUAAUGCAUGGAAUUUUGAAACUCCCUUUAUCUUUUUGCUUGAGCAGAAGCUUCCUUUGAAGGAUUGCAUUGCAUUCUUCCGUCAACUGAAUCUUCUCAUUAUCACUAAAUUUUCUUUUCUUUGAGAUGAUAUCCUUCAUGAAUUUGGCAUAGUUCGGCAUUUGCUCCAGAGCAUCGGAAAAUGGAAUGUUAAUCUCCAAUUUCUUAAACAUCUCUAAGAAUUUGAAAUACUUCUCAUCUAACUUAUUCUUCUUGAGCCGUUGAGGAAAAGGAAUAGGAGGCACAUAUGGCUUCACAGGUGAGACAACAGGCUUAGCUAGCGGCACAGCGACAAUGACAGAUUUCGGAGAAGUGUCGGUAGUGGUUCCCGUGGUGGUUGAUGGUUGUAAGAUAGCUGACAAUGGUUGCUACUCUUGUGCAGUUUCUUUGACCUCUUCCUCCUCAAUAUUUGGUCCCAAAUCCACUCUAGUCUUCACUUGUUUUCCAUUCCGAAGAAUUAUUACUUUAGCUUGCUCAUGAUUUCUCGGGUUAACUUCAGUUUGGCUUGGAAAAGAACCUUUUUCUCUAACUACCAAUGAUUGAGCUAACUACCCCAUUUGGACCUUCAAAUUUUUUAUAGAAGCAACCUGGUUCUAAAGAGUUGUCUCAGUUUUGCUCAUAAACUAAUUUGUAUUGACAGAAAGAGUAUUCACAUUAUCGGCAAGCUGAGCAAUGACAUCUUCCAAAUUAUUCUUCUUCUCUUGAGGUUGGAAACCUGAUGGUGGCUUUUGCACAUUCUGAUUGUUGACCCAUGAGAGAUUUGGAUGGUUUCUCCAUCCUUGAUUAUAAGUGUUGGAGAGUACGAAUUGUUACCAGGACGUCUAUAAACAUUCACCAUGUUCGCUUGCUCUUGAACAAAUUCUGGAAAAUCAACUUCAUACGGACAACCAACUGUGGCAUGUCCAAGAACUGCACAUAUGGAACAAACCUCUUGAACUAGUGCUCUCCUAUUCAUAGAAAGCAAAGUGUGCAGUUUACUAGCAAUCGCAUCAACUUGUGCCUUUGAAGCAAAAGCAUUAGCAUCAACAUUAUUAAUCUAAAAAACUCCUACACGUCUUCCUCUUGCUUCACAAUGUUGCAUUUCGAGUGCUAGAGUAUCAAAAAGUGCUUGACAUUCGGCUAAUGUCUUGUUCUUAAUUGAUCCCCCUACAUUGUUGUUCACUGUAGCUUUGCUUGAAACUGUUAAUCCUUUAUAAAAUAUCUGCAUGAGAACGAGAGUAGGCAAACCAUGGUGCGGACACUGAAUCAAUAAAUUAUUGAAUCUCUCCCAUGCCUAAAAAAAAGUCUCAUCUGUAUGUUGAGUGAAAUGCAUGAUAUUAUCUCUUAAAGUAUCAGUCUUCUGGGUCGAGAAGAAUUUCUCCAAAAAUUUAUUUUGAAUAUCGUUCCAACUCGUCAAGGUUCUAGGCCUCAAAGAAUUCAAUGUCUUUCAAAGUGUAUGGAAAGACCUUCAUCCUGAGGUUUUCCUCGGUGACUCCUUCUACCAAUGCCAUGUUUGACACCGUAUUGAAGAUAUCUCUAAUAUGUGCCAAUGGAUCUUCAGUGCUCAUGUCAUGAAAAGAAGGCAUCAUAUUAAAGUGGAUAGUCUUCAAUUCAUAAUUCCUUGUAGCUGUAGGAAGAGCUAUGCUUGACGGUGAUUCCAGAAUGGUUGGAAUAUCAAGAUCUCCCAUCGUCUCAUUAUGAACUAACGCCAUCUUGCUCUCUUGCUGCUUUUCUUUCUCAUUGACUUCUCUUUGUUCUCUUUGGGUUUCACGGAGUCUUUUCUCAAUUUCUGGUUCAAACUCAAGUAAUACACAAUCCGAUGAACGAGUACCAAGCAUUCACCUUCAAGAAACAAUGAAAAAAAAAAGUGAGAAUGGACCGAGAAAAAUUGAUCAAAAUAAAAAAAAAAAUAAAAUAAAAAUAAAAUAGAUUGAAAAAUCACAAAAGUAAAAUUAUCUUAAAUUUGAUCCGAGGCAGCGGCGCCAAAAACUUUUUGUUGAUAAUUGUAAGUGUACAAUAUCGUCCAAGUAAUAUAGUGAUAAGUAGAGUAUUGUUCAAAUAAGGAUCGGAUUAACAUAAAUUUACUAUUGAGAUUGACUCCAAGCUAAACAUAAAUAAAAGAAGGAUUAUGAUGACAAAUUCAACUAUGCAAAGAAACCAAACGAAAGUGAAAAUAACAAUUGAUCAAACAUGAAGUAAAAGUGUAUGAAUUAUGAAAGAUUAAUAUAUUGAAGCACUAGGACAUUAGGUUCCUCAUUCUCAAUUCCAUCUAUUCCCAUUAUUCAUAUUAACAUCAAAUUAUUCCCAUGUUGCUAACAAUUAUCCCUUGAUUCAUCAAUACUUCCUGUUAGAAUAUACUAACCGUGUUUCUAACUAUCUACCCAUGCUAUGUCUAGCCACAGAUAUAGAUAAUUGAAACCCUUUACGCUAAAUGGAUAAUUACACAAUACUACACAAAUCAUAACCAGUAUGUCUACUCAAUUAUGUAAUCCAUGGUAAUUGUUAUGAGAAGCAAUCUACUAAACUUAGCCUAUCAGUCACGAUUUAGAUCUCCAUGCAAAUAAUGGCCAGUUAUUUGAUAACAAGAAUUAGAUGUUCAUGAUAAGAGUACACCCUAGUCCUAGCAAAAGGACUUAGUUCAUGAUUAAACUAAUGACAAACAUGGAUGAAUUCGAUGACAUAAAGAAACCCAAAACUCCAAUUUUGUAUCUGUGUGCAAUAAGGCCUGGGAAUCUACAACCUUCUGUGAAGUUGUCCCUCUCCAAGUCAGUGAGUGUGCGUGAGGGUAUUUGAUCCUUACCUCAUGGGAAAAGUUAACAGAUCACCAGAGUUCAUCGGGCCUUUGCCACUGCAGGACUUCCAUGUCAUUGGCUUGGGUUUGAGAUGGGAAAAGAAAUGACGAUGGUGGUCUGGUAUGGUUCAAUGGCUUAUGUGGAGCUCGUUGGAGUGGGGGAGAGGUGUGGUGGCCUUCCUGGCUUCAAUGGAUGCAUAUAAGAUGAGGGAUGAGAGAGUAGAUAGAGAACGAGUCUGAGGGAGAGAGAUGAGGUGAGGUGAGAGAGAAAUGGGGAGAGUCCAAGAGAGUCCCCAAUGGGGGACCAAAUAUGUAUUUUCUGUAUAUUUGACGGGUAAUGCUAGAGAGACCAAAUUUUUUAAACGAAAUUUGCAAACCAAAAGAUGUGGUUGUAGAUGAUUGAAUUAUUGAUUAAGUGUUCAUUAAUGUGUUUGUUUCUUAUUAGGGCCACAUUAGUUGAUUUAAAAAAUUUGGUUCUCUAGCAUUACCCAUAUUUAACAUUAAUUGUUUGACUUUUCUUGAGAUUUAUAAUCCCAUGUGUGUGUGUACAUAUAUAUAUAUAUAUAUAUAUAUAUAUAUAUAUGGCAUAUACAUGUGAAAUUUACAAUAAAAAAUUCUAACAUUUUGAUUGAAGAAAUGGAUAAAAACAAUGUAACAAUAUGAAAUAAUAAAUGGAAAAUGAAUGUAUCCAUAGUGUUAAAAAAUUGGUACAUUUUACAUAUGACAAAAGUGAUAUAUUUAUAAAAAAGAAUGGAUACAUUAUUAAUACGGGUACAACAAAAAGAAUAAAAAUGUCACGAAUAAAAAUGAAAUUUCAAAAAAUAUGUGCACAAAAGUAAAUAAUAUAUGGGUACAAAUUAAAAUAAAAAAUAAAAUUAAUACAAAUUUAAGAAAAAUGGUUGCAAAUGAAAAUUGGGUACAAACUGAAAAUAGAAAUAUAUGAUACAAACUUUAACCAUAAAUAUAAAUAUACUAAAUAUAAUGUUUCUAAUGCUAAUUAAAUAAUGACCGUCAUUAAAAUCUAAAGACUUUUGUAAAAAAUUAUAAAGAAAUAAGAUUUUAAUUAAUAGAAUAAAAAAAUAAAUGAAAACUUAAUUUCUCUAUUAAUGAAUUAAAGCAGAGCCACUAACAGUUAGGCAACUUUAGCUGAAAAACCCCCAUCAAAAAUAUCAAUCACUCUUCACUAGUCCUUGAUGGCUUCCAAUUUCCAUGAUUCAAGAUAAUCACAGUGCAUGCAUAUACAAAUAAAUCCACAACCUCAUAAUUGAGAGAAAUUUUUCACUGUCUGAAACAAAGGUAAUAUAGUACAUGUUAUGUAAAGGAGGGUAAAUUUUAUUUUCAAAUGUCUGUUUACUUAUAUAAUAUCAUGUGAUAAACUAUUUGUAUUCUGACCAUACUAAAAAAUCUUAUUCAUAAAUUAUACAGGACCAUCAGCACUACAGAAAGCAUAUAUAGGAUGAUCGUACGGUUGGCAUUUCACAACAUUGUUGGUACAUGUUAUGACAUCAUCUUCCUAAAGAAGAUACCUAGUUUGGGAAAGGGAUCCUCUCCGGAUCCCUUUUUUCUAAUCUACCAAAUUAAGAAUAAGUGCUAUUGAAAUUUAAUCCAACGGUUAAAAUUAUUAUAACUUUUAAAGUGGACAUCUGUUUAUGUUGUUUGAUGAAAACUUAAUUAUUUUUCCAUAUUACAUGAUGCAAAAUCGUACUUUCGGUUUCUCGAUUAAGUAGGUACGUCAAAUCUGUGUUUGCAUUUUACUAGACUAAUCUCUUGGAGUAGUUCUUCAUUUAAAUAAGAAUGCUAAUAAUCUUUCUUUUUUUGGACUUUUUCGUUUUAGCUUUUCAGCUCUCCUUCUCAUUCGUGAUGUUGUACAAUAAUUUGAAUUGUUUUUUUUUUAUAUAUAUAUUGUUCUUUAAAGAUUAUCUUUGCAAAAAUUAAUUAAGUCUAAAAUUCUAUAGUUAUCUAACAAUUAUUUAAUAAAAGAGGAACCAUGUUUGUCACUAAGACAGUGAAAUUUUAUCAAUGUUUAAUCGAAGGUUUAAACCAUGUUUAAUUUGGUUAAUAUUUUGGCAGCAUUGAUCUUUAAAUGGCGACCUAAAAAUAAGAAGGUUUCAAGGGAAAUACUCUAAAAUUCGACAAUUUCAUAAUCUUGGAACAGAAAUAGGACAAACCAGCUAUGCAUAAAACCAAAAUUACUAAAAUACCCACAUAUAAAUACUAAAACUCAGAAGCUUAUUGCAUCACUGUUCUCAUUUGGAAGAGAGGGAUGUCGGGAGAGCUCUGUGAGGUCUAGGUUUCUAGAUUGAGCUCAGAUCUCUGAACUUCGAUUUCCAAGAGACAAAGUCCAAAGAGAAGUGAGAAGAGUGAGCUAGGUUUUGGGUUGAUCUCAUACCUCUAAUUUCAAACAAAUGUAUGCGAGGGAGAGGUGAGAAGAGUGAGCUGGGUUUUGUACCAUAUUUUAUGUUUUGGCUAUAAAGUUCCAUUUUUCCGGCGACUAAAGCUUCGGCAUGCAUAGUAAGGUAGGGUGUUUAGUUCCAAGUUCCUUUAUCAAUGAUUUAUGGAAUAAAUGAGUUGUUUGUAAGAUAAAUUAACUUAGAAGUUAAAUUAGGGUUUGUGUUUCAUGUUGGGCCUAUGGGUUGUGGAAUAAAUUUCAGGUUUUGACAUGCUACAAAACUAGGAUGGAACAAUUUCUUAUUCAAGUGUUCAAUUGCAUAAAUUUGUGAAAUUUUUUCCGUAAUGUGCAUGUGGUGUGCAUAAAGUAUGCAUGGCUACAUCUUAAUAUGAGAAGCAAGAAUGUUCACUAGUUAUGAUGCACGUAUGUUGUGCUCCAGAAUUUAGCGAGUAUGACCACAACCUAGUUGGCCUCGGUGAAAAACAAAAUUAAGAAAAAGAUUAGAGGACGUUGAGGAUCAUGCAUAUCCAUGAAAUAAUGACUACAAGUAUCAUGUUUUAUACGUGCACGAUUUAGCGGUUAUUGAUAUACGUAACAAGACUUUUCAAACUGCCACUGUAACCUUAUAUACGUAACAAUUAUGUUUUAAUUGUAUCCACUAUACCAAUAGGUUGUCGUUAAAGUUUCUUAUUAAUGCAAAAAGCAGCUUGUUGCUCAAUCUUUAGCUCUGUGCAUAUCAUGUGCAUGUAUUAUACAUAUGGUGUGCAUGUGGUGUAUAUAUAGUGUAUAUAGACAUGUGAUGACAUCAUUUUUCUGAUUUCAAAGAGCGAGCUGUGAACUCUGGGUCUUUGGGUUGGCAGAUUUGUGAGCAUGUCAUGUGCAUGUCGUGCACAUACAAUGAGCAAAUCCUGAAAAAUUAAUCCAACAAAACACCAGCAUUUAAUGACUGGGCUUUGUUCCCACCCUCGAUGCGAGUCUAGUGGUGAUGGUCUCGAGCCUCGAUUGUUUGCUGUGUUGCCAGAAAUGGCCAGAAAACUCGCGGCCUGCUUGAGUUUUGAUCCCAAUGAUCGGGGAUGAGAUUUGUGACAGGACUAGGUGUUUUGGACUCAUGAGGACAAGAUGAAAUUGGUGAUGGCUUCAAUUUGGACGGUGUUGGUUGGGACUAUUGUGCACCAUGUUUGCAUAAUGAGAAGGGGAGAGAGAGUGUGUGAGAGAGAAAGUGAGAGAAGAGAGAGAAGGAAGGAGAGAGAGAGAGAGUAGAUAGAGAAAUUAGAAAAUGGGAGGAAAUAACUUAUUUAUAUACGAGGGCAAUUAAGUCAUUUCAUAGUGUAGAAGAAAUAUAUUUCUGUCCGAUUGUUGUGCAUAGCGUGUGAAUAUUCGAAAUUUCUAUUUCUGUCCCAAGAUUAAGAAAUUGUCCUAUAGAAUUCUUACUUUCAAUCAUUUAACUACAUUGUAAAAUUAAAAAAAAAAAAAACCGCAAUUCAAAGAUAAAAUGAGAAAGUUCGGGCAAGAAGGUUCCUAGCAUUCACAUUAAUUUUUUUUCGUGUGAAUUGUGGAGUGACGUGGUCAUGAUGGAUACGAUUGAAGACGGCUCUGUCAUACGUCACAGGGAGAGGAUCUUAUUAGCUACCAAAGCUAGUUAAUCAUUGAUUUCUAGAUAAAUGGCUGCAUGAGCAAUUAUUUCAGAUUUUACAGUCUCUAUAAAUUGAGACUUUGCUCCAGCAAAACUAUAAAUUGAGUAAUGCCCAUCUCCAAAACUACACAUUUUAUAUUUCCUUUUUCCUCUCACUAGCUAUUCUGCUGCAGAUCUAAUAUAACUCUCGGUCUACAACUGCUUGCUCUAGCUAGGAAAUAAAAAAUGGCAUCAAGAUCUUCAGUAGUUUUCUGUUUGGUUUUGCUUGUGGCUUCGUGCUUGGUCAAGAUAGAGGAAGCUGCUAGCACUGGUCUCUCUCUCUCUCUCUCUCUCUCUCUCUCUCUCUCUCUCUCUCUCAUGCACACAACGCUAGUUCUAUUAACUACAUUGUAAAAGAUGAAAUUGGUACAGAGGAAGAGAAAGAAUUGGUAGAGAGAAACAGAAAGAUUGUAUUGAUUGAAUAGAGAAAAUGUAUACAAAAUGAACUUAAUGAAAUGAUAGCUAUACAAUCCCUUAUAUAGCCAUAUAACCUAAUUACAAUAAUACCCCUCUAACUAUAUUUCUGUUAUAUCAGUUAUUACUCCCCCCUCAAACUAAACUUGAAGUAUCCAAGUGAAGUUUGAACUAGCCAGGGAUUUGAGAUUGAUCUGCAAUUACUGGUCUCCAACUGUCUGCCCAGUUCCGUGGCUGCUCCUAAUGCCUGUAACAUCACCAAAAUCAUCUAAAGUCUCGCUCUCAAGAUGUAAAAUGUCAUCCUUGCGCACUGCAACCAUCUUGGACAACAAAGCAGUGAACUUGCUUAGUAGAGUCCAAAUUAGCACUAAAUCCAUUAGAAUUGUCGUUUCUUUAAGCAGAACCCAAUACAAGCUCCCCAACAGGUAGAUCAAUGAGCUUAGCAAUACAAUCAAAUCUGGUCUUGGUCUGAACGUACCCAACAAGUUGUCGACUGUGAACUGAGAAGCCAUAGUAACACACUCACUGUAUAUGCAAAUUAUCCCUCCUAAAUCUUGACAGAAACUGGCACCAAAUCAACAAUGGAGAAUGACACUCCAAGAAACUAAAUCUACCAAGGAGAAUGACACUCCAAGAAACUAAAUCUACCAAGGAGAAUGACACUCCAAGAUCUUCCGAACACCAAAAUUAACCAAGGAGAAUGACACUCCUGAAAUCUUCCGAACACCAAAAUUAACCAAGGAGAAUGACACUCCAUAUCAACUGAAUGACUCCACAUAUCAACAAUUUGCAUAGGCAAGAAACAUAUAUGGCUUUGUAUCUCAACAAUAUUCCAAACACUUCAACACUUUUCAACAACUACAGAGACUGGAAAUGACCUGAUCUCACGAUUGUCUGCUAUGGUUGCUGAAAGGUUGGGCAGCGAUGAGUGCACACCACAAUCGACAACAUCUGGGCUAUUCAUGUGUGCUAUUAACCUUGCAUCGAGCGAGGGCAUAUUGGUUCACGGAGUUAGAGUUAACCAGCAAAGAGGAAAGAAUCUCUAGAACCGACAAACACCACCAUCUCGAAUCUUCAAGAAUUACAGAAUCGCAGAAAUUCACAGCUCCACCAGAUCAUCAAAGUAAUAGAAUAGAGAACAGAACAUGGAUCAAAUAACACCAAAGAAGCACAGAGAGCUAAUAUACAAACUACACCAAGAAUGUAGAGCAAAUACCACCUUAGAAGAUCCCAUAUCACAAGGCAGACACAACAGAGAAUCAAGAAACCGACAACAUCCCAAAUCUGCAAGAGCUUUCCACACUAGAGAAGGGAACACGGAGCAGUGGCAAAUAUAGAAUUCAGAGAGCUAAUCUGCGAACACUACUAAGAAGAAAGAAAUAGACCAAUAAUCUUGAAAUCACUCUUUGACAUUUCGUCAAACAAAUAAUGUGCAAGAAUGCACUUGCCAAUUGAGGAUGACAUUUGAAGAAUCGGUGAUGUCAAAUUUGAGGAGGACAUAACUUCACAUGAAAUUUCUGAGUUGGGCAAUAUGUCAAACACCUGGACUGCAGCGAACAAGAAGCAUAUGAUUUUGGGAAACACCAAGAAGUCCAGAAUCCAACCCAUACAACUCUAGCUCCGACUAAAUCCUUGUUGUCACCGACCAAAACCCACCUGACUGGUAUACUGUUCUUCAAAUAUCCCGACCCAGAUCUGUAAACCCAACUGUCAUCCGGACCCAGUUGAAAUCGACGAGGUCAGUGACGACGUUUUUCAGGGUGGUGAUCACAGAGUCGCCUAGAACACGUUGGUGGCACCAAGGAUCUCCAAAAGAACGCUCAUUCUUAGUCGAUUCGCAUCCACAAAAACUAAGUAAGAAAUUGAUUCUGCUUCUUUCUCCGAUUCAGGGAUUAGAGAGAAGAAGGAAACACCAAAGAACUUAGACGAAAAAUUCAAGAAAAUCUGAAGAGAAAAUAAAACUCGAAAAAGAAAUCUAAAAAAAAUAAAAAUACGGAACCACCAGAAUCAGUGGCGUAAGCCUGGUGGCUCUGAUACCAUAUUAACUACAUUGUAAAAGAUGAAAUUGGUACAGAGGAAGAGAAAGAAUUGGUAGAGAGAUACAAGAAAGAUUGUAUUGAUUGAAUAGAGAAAAUGUAUACAAAAUGAACUUAAUGAAAUGAUAGCUAUACAAUCCCUUAUAUAGCCAUAUAACCUAAUUACAAUAAUACCCCUCUAACUAUAUUUCUGUUAUAUCAGUUAUUAAGUUCGUUAUACAUAAAUAUAUAGAUAAUAAGUAUCUGAUUUUCUGUAAAUUAAGUGAAUUGUUGUAGUGAUAAGUUUUGGUUUUCUUUCUGUUAACAUAAUGCAGGCGCAUUGGCCAUGGGUGCUUUGAUGGCAAGGAAGCUGUUUUCCAGGGGAGACACAACAGAAGGUGUGCGCGCGCGCGCGAGCGCGCGCACACACACACACACACACACACACAUAUAUAUAUAUAUAUAUAUAUAUCCACAUUUUUAUUAUAUAUAUUUAUUUAUUUUGAAACAAUUCUACAUAAGUUUUCUGCUUGCAUGCAUGCGCAGAUGUUUGUUGGUGGCAGUGGCAAUGACAUCAAAAAAAAGGAAAUGAACAAGGAGGUUGGUAAGAGCAAGGUCCUAAAAAUCGCUAGGCUCUAGUCAGGGUCUAGGCAGGCACAUAGACGGUCUAGGCGGAUUUGUAUUUUUUUUAAAUAAAUUUAUUAUAUAACAUAUUAACAUAUAAAUAUACAUAUAUUCACACUUAUAAAAACCAUACUUGUAUAGAGAAAUUAGAAGAAAAAAAAUGUAAAUUGAAAAAAUACAAAAAAAAAUAUUUAUUAUAAAGAAUAGUGGGCUUAGUUUUAAAUCAAAAUGGAUCUAACUUGAAAGAAAUGCCUAUUUUCAAUUAAACCACCUCGAUUCCUUCUCCGCAGCUUUCUCCAAGGCCAAGGCCAGUCCCGACUCCCAAGUCCCCAACCAUCAUUUGGUUAGUGGAAAAGUGGCUCUAGCAUUUAUGCCUUUUUUUGCUCCUUUUUCCUUCGACUCUCUCUCUCUCCUCUUCUCUGCAGCACAUCCCCUUUUUCUGCAGCAAAACCCAUCAUCUUCUUAAUCUACUUGAGGCGUCGUGAAUUCUAGUUUUGUUCUACAGUUUUUUUAUUUUUUAUUCUUUAUUCUUUAUUUUUUAAUUUCUGUGGGUUUAUCGAUUGAUGUUGGGUGUUGGAGUGCUGGUUUGAAGAUUUGGGUUGUCGGUGGUGGAUCGUGCGGAUGUGAGGCAAGAUUUGCAGCGAGAUUGGGAGUUGCUUCGACUGCCGCCUAGGCCACCGCCUAGCGCUGCCUAGACAUCAUUGAGCGCCUAGGCGGCCGCCUAAAUUCACCCCACCUCACCUGAACGCCUUAGCCUAAAUUGGGUUGGGACUCCACCGCCAAGCACCUAGGUGGUCGUCUAGGCCGAUUUUUAGAACAUUGGGUAAGAGUGGGAAGCUGCUGCAGGAUGAAGAAGCUGACGAUGAUACCAUGAAUGGAAAGAGCAAGUUGGAGGUUGGGUAGAAGUUAAGAAAAGCUCCCUCAGGUCCUGACCCGCUGCACCACAAUGGAAAUGCCCCCAAAAAGCCUCGCACUGAUCCUUAAAAAAUUAGGGUUUUCCCAUCGACCGGUCGAGCAAGAGCUAGCUAGUUAAUGUACUUGUACUUGAUCUUUAGCUAGGUUACUUCAUGCACUGGUUAGCUACCAAUGGAGGAGACUUUUGUAUUCAGGACAGGACAUGGAGGGCAUUAUGUAAAAUCUGUUUUAUUGUAUGGAACAUAUAUAUCAAUGUUUGCAUAUUUUGGUCUAUUUAUUUAGUCCUUAGUCUUCAAUUUUAUGCUCAAAUUCUUGUUACUCUCCUUUCUCAAUAGAUCCCUUAUGAUUUGUUUGGUUAAUCAUCAAACAAAUUAUAGUUUUGUAUCAAAACAUUAAAAUCAGGGAAAUUUUACUUGGACUCAUUUAUUCUCUUUCUACACUCAAUUUAUUAUUUGUUAUCUUGAGAUUUCAAAUGUGCUAAAUAAUUCUUUUUCUACACCACACAAGGACAAAAUAAAUAAAAAUAAUUCAGAAAUAGGCAACUCCAGCCACCUUAUCUCUCUAAACCUCAACCACCUAGUUUCUAGCCCUCUCCAACCCCUCACUGCCACCUCCUCUACCACCACAACAAUUUGGAAAUUAGGAGAACCUUAUCCCCUAACAACCCACCAUUGAAAACACCCAAAAGAAAUUUAUAUCAAUAUUGCUUUAGAAAAAAUCAUGAUAAUAUUAAAAUUGUGAUUUUUCACAUAUAUCGUACAUUCAAUGGUCCAACACAGUCAAAUUUGACUCAUCGACAAUUUUCGGUGAAAUUCGAACAUGUUAGAAGGACUGCAUGGAAGAGGGAGCUAUUGUGUGAUUGGAAAAAGGUCAGAUCUUUGAGAUUUUCAUUGUGGGUGGUAAUGGAGGUGGUUGGGUAGGUGUAGAAAUUGAGGGCGGCUAGAGUUUGGAGAGAUGGGGUGGGCGAAGUUUCCUAGUGCUGAAAUUUUAUUUUUUAUUUAUUUAUUUAUUUUGUUCUUUUUCAUUUUAGGUGUAGAAAGAGAAUUUUUUUUCGUAUAUUCGAAAUUUUAAGAUUAAAAAUAAGAAGUAUGGGUGUAGAAAGAGAAUAAAUGGAUAUGAAUAAAAUUUUCCUUAAAAUUAAUAAGUUAACCACUGAUUUAAUAAAGCACCCAAUUAGAAAAAAUAAUUAUAACAACUAGUUUCAUAAUGCUAGGGAGACCAAUUUUUAAAUCAAAUUUUGUAAACCAUAUGUUGUUGUUGUUAAUGAUUGGAAUUGAUUAACGUGCUUAUUUUGUGUUGGUGACAAAUGGUUUGCAAAUUUGAUCUACCUAGUAUUACUCAAAUUUUAUAUAAUGUUAUUGAGUAUACGGUACUUUCAUUUUUCAGCCAAUAAAUCUUUGAUUGUGUUAUUAAUUAAAAAUCUAACACAUAAAAAUAUUCAAAAUAUCAAAUACUCUAGAUGUGACGACCCGUCCCAAAUAAAUAUAUAUUUUCUCCCCAAAUGUGUGAAAAUGACGAUUAUGCCCUCGUUGGCUUGGUGACGUGGAUGUACGUAUAUAGUUUUAAAUUAUUUUCUCGCUCGCAUAAUUAAAUGGUGCUCGACGUCACGGGCACGUCGACCUAACUUAAGAACGAGAAUGGAUGAAAUUCUAUUUUUGGAUUGGUUUAUUUCUUCUUUGGACCCAUUUUUUUAGGGCUUAAACUUUACGGCCCAAUCAAGGGCCUUAUUAUUUUUCCCUUCCUACCCGUGCCUCCCUUCACUCCAGAAACUUUCCCUCUCUCGAUGCUCUCGUCCCUGACACAACACACACGCACAUACUGCAACUAUCAAGACUUCUGUAAUACCCUGAAAAUUUAAAUAUAUGAAUUAUAUAUUCAUAAUUAUGAAAUGUGGAGAAAAUCGGAAAUGAAUCAAUUUAUGGUUAUGAAGAAAUUAAUUGAGAACUCCUAAGUUUUGGUUUUCAGAAAUUAUUAAAAUUUAAGUAUUUUUAUGAUUGAGAUUUUAUCUUAGUUUUGAGAAUUUAUAUUAAGUUAUUAGAGUUUAGUUUUAAAUUAAACUAGUUACGAGGUUUAAAGUUUGGACCUUAAUUAUUUAAAAUACGUAGACCUUUUGAGGUCAAAAUUUUUAUUUUUGAAUAGAGCUCGACCUCAUGAACGUAGGAGCAAACCGUUCGUGAAACGGAGUUAGAACGAAUAAGUUAUAAACGUUUAAAGUCGGAGAUAAAUUGGUAAUUUUAAACAUGUAUAGAAGGCUCCAGAAAAUCUGGAGCCAUUUGACAUGCCACAUGUGUGGCUGAGAUGAAAAGAAGAAACAAAAAAUGGACGGUUGAGAUUGAAAGAAAAGCAUAGAAAGGAGAGAAGGGGGAAGGAAUCAAGGGAGGAUGGCCAAUGAGGGUUGAGAGAAAGGAGAUGAAAGGAGAGAAGGGGAGAAUGAGGGAAUCCUUCGACCCGGUUAUACUUACGAGCCGACCUGGUUGGAUCUUUUGAUUCCGGCCACCUUAGACGACGGGAAGGGUGCCAAAUUGAUCCUUACUUCAAACCCAAUCAUUCCCUCUUCCUAGUUCACCCCAAAAAUAACAUAUUUGGCCUUGAAAUUAAGAAAAGCGCACCGGUGGGUGCGGCGGCCAUUACUCUGGAUUCCCCAAAGUUUGAAAUGUUUCCAUCCAAUUACAACCACCAAAACACUCUCCUUAAACCCAGGAACAAAGCCCAUGAUUUGGUUAGGGUAUCGGAGUGGUUUUGGAGUCUAAUCAAGAACACCCAAAAAUAAGGGUUCUGAUGGUUCGUGGACAAUUUGAGGUGUUUCCAGGCCAAAUUGGCUUUGUCCACAGGUAUGAAAGUUGUUCUACUCAUUAAGAUCUACUUGACUGUAAAAUUUUGAAAUUUUUGGAAAAAGUUGAAUUUUCCGGCGAGUCGGGGCAGCCGACCGCCACCCGCGGCAGUGCCUAGCCAGUGGGCUAACUCUGCCAUUUUUCAUGCUAAUUUUGAUGUUCUGAAUCCAUAUUUUAUAUUUAUAUGGUGUGAUGAAAAUGUUUGGAUUGAAUUUGUGAUUAUUGGUUACUAAAAUGUUAAAGUUAAUGAAUUACGAAGUGUAUGUGAACUACGGGAGGCUUGAUCCCGCUCAAGGGUACAUAGGCAGUCUAAUAGUGUUAGAUGCAACCUUAAAUAAUCGAGAAUUUUAUUUUAGUUGAGAAUUAUUCUUAGAUCCUAAAUUUAUUUAAGUGCAGGAAAGGUAGUAAAUUGAUAAAUAUAAUUGUUAUGCUUUGGUAAGAGAAUUAAGGUUAUAGAACGUGUGGAAUUAAGGAACUUAGUUAAAGAGUCGUGAAUAUUGGCAGCUAAAUAAACGAGAGUUUAAAUUUUGGGCCUAUCACCGAUAAUUAUUGCCGAAAAUAAAUAAUUUCGGGGGCGGGGUGUUACAAAUGGUAUCAGAGCAAAUGAUCCUACUCUGUAAUAUGCAAUGUCCUUGAAUUCUUGUUGGUAUGAAUGAUGAUAUGCAUUGUGGUUGCAUUUCACAAUUUUUGUGAAUAAAGUGGCAUGCAUGUGAUAUAUAUAUAUAUAUAUAUAUAUAUAUAUAUGUGUGUGUGUGUGUGUGUGUGUGUGUGAUACAUAUAUGAUUGGCCUCGUAUUGUGGUGCAAUUUCCAUGGUGAUUAUGAAAUUCCUAAAGUAGAAAUUAUUAUUAGCAUUGCUAUUGCAUUACCCUCCAAGUUCUUUGUAUAAUGAGGAAGUUAUAUGGUGUAUAUAUACAUACAUAUCUACAUUGUGAAUUAUCCUGAAAUGAAGUGGCUUGGAUUGUUAUUGUGUUAUGCACUAGGAAAAUUUAAAUUCAAAGAUGAUGGUGAAGGGGUGACAAGUAGGUGGGUUGUACCUGGACAAUUGAAAAUUUAAAUUGGGCACAAUGACCCGUGGAUGUAAAUUGGGCACAAUGACCCGUGUAUGUGAAUUGGAGACAAUGACCCGUGGAUAUGUGAAUUGGGAGAAAAGGCCCAUGGAUGUGAAAUUGGGCGAAAAAGGCCAGUGUAUGUGAAAUUGGGCGAAAAAGUCCCAUGGAUGUGAAAUUGGGCGAAAAAGGCCCGUGGAUGUGAAAUUGGGCGGAAAAAGGCCCGUAGAUGUGGAAUUGAAAAAAAAAAAAAAGAGAAAAAAAAAAAGAAAAGGAAGUGUGUUGUGGAUUGGUCAAGUAUAUUACAAUCUUUUUCAGCCUACUAGUUACUGUUGGAGAUAAAAGAAAAUGGUGGUGGAAUCAUUGUGUUGACAAUGGUAAGUGUGGCUAGAAAUGUAAAAUGUUUGGCAAAUGAUAAUUGUAGUUGGAAAUUUGGUAUUUAUUAAAGUCAUGACAAUUUAUCGAAUGAAAAUAAAAAGUAUAUGUUGUAGUUAUGGAUGAACAUGAGUGAAAAAUUUUGGAAUGAGACUUUGAGUUCGUUUAAUAUAAACGACUUCCCAGUUGUUUUUUUUUUUAGUCCUAUGGAAAUGAUUGAUGGAGAAGUUUGUAAUAACUCAUGAAAUUGUAUGGAUGGAAUAUAUGGGAAGUGUUUGUGGAAUUUUCCACCGUGGAGAUCGUUAUAUGGUAUAAUGUAAUCAGGCAAUUGAUUGCUACUAUAAAAUGUACAUGCCUUAUUAUUUUGGGUCACUUCACCUUAAGAAAAGUUUUAGGUCGAAGUUAUAAUAGGCAAAAGUAUAUAUAUGGUAUUGUCUAGUGCAAGUGUUUUGAAUUUAAUGUAUUAUGUAUACUAAUAAUUGUUGGAACAUCAUCUUAACUUUCUUCAAAAAAAAAAAAAAAAAAAAAAAAGAAAAGAAGAAAAGAAAGAGAUCUUGAUUAUCUCAUUUUAAUCGAGAUAUAUUUUGACAACAUCUAGACAUCAUUAAAGUUUUGGUUGGUUUGUGUGAUGUAUAAUAAACCAGUUCGAACCAAUAAAUAAAUAAAUAAAAUAAAAAUUAUGUGAUUGAUAUUCUGAUUUUGGUCGUCGUUGGAACUGGUGAUUUUGGGUUUAUAUUAGAUAAGCUAGUCCUUGAUUGAGACUAUCUUUAAAUUGAUACAUAAACUGGUUGCAUAAUGGUGUAAAGUUUAUAUGAUUAAAUUAAGAUUAUGCAAUAGCUGUUUUGGUGAGAAAUCGGGAACCAAUUGGUUGAAUUAUUACUUUCUUAUUCAUCGUGUUAGAAUAUGUGAAAGUAAUAAAAUUUGUUGUUGACUGAAGUUUAACCUUAUAGCUGUUAAGUUUGGCCAGAUAAGUUGGAGCAAAUUAUAUUGAGUUUUCUUCAUUAGUUUGAUCACAACAUGGAUUAUACACAUUGGACUAGUUCGGUUACCAUAGUCAUGAGUUGUCAUUGUUACAUUCGUUUUCCUGAACAGAGUUGAUGAAGAGCACAUAUUUUCAUGACUAUGUGAUUAAUAAGGGUUAAUUUCUUUAGCCGAUAGAGUCGUGAUAUAUAAAUUUCUCUCAUUUGGUUGAUGGAACGUGAAUAGUGCUCUAGAACUGUGAGAACUUAAUUUAGGCAAUCUGCAGCGGUCUUUAGAAACAAUUUAAAAGAGAAUCAAUUAAAAGAAAGAUUUAAAAAAGGUUUUAAAGAUUACUAAGGGUAAUUUAGUUUAAUUGUGGAUAUGAAUGAAAUCAUAGAACGGGAUUUGAUUUCGUUCAGUGUGAACAGUAUUGUGGUUUUGGUUUUAAAUUUCUUCCAUUAGCUAGUAGUGGGAUUGGAAAUUCCAAUAAUUUUGGUUGAAAUUUUGGUAUUUGAAUUGACAAUUCUAAUGGUUUGGCUUGAAAAUUUUGAGAUUUACUUAGCUAUUACUGAUCAUGGCUUGAAAUUUAUGAUAUUUGUUUUGUCAAUAUUGAGUAUGGUAAAAAAAAAAAAAAACAAAACAAAAAAAAAAAAAAUAAUUGAUGUUGGUAUCGCCAAUGCUUGUGGUUAGAAAUUUUGAGAAAGAAUUGUGGUAAUGGAUGUGUGUAGCCAAUUAGAAUUAUGACUUAAUGGUUGACAUUAUUUUUGCCAAAAGUAAUGGUAAGUGGUAAUACCCAUAAUUAUGAUUUAAAAUUUAAAUUAGUGCGACUGGGAUUUCCGAUAUCUAUCUUGCCAAUGUGUGUGGCUAGAAGUUCUGAUAUUUUCCUUGCCCAAGAAUGUGAUUGUGAGAAUCACGAUGAAUUAUUCAUUGAGUUAUUUAUUUUCAUUUUGAAUAAAAUUGUAGACGGAGAUUUUAAUUGUAUUCACCAUCAAAGAAAUGAUGGAAAUAGUUUUAGUUCCUUCUCGUAACGCGACAGUUGAAAUCUCGGGGACCAGAUUUAUUUUAAUGGGGGGUGAAUGUAAUACCCUGAAAAUUUAAAUAUAUGAAUUAUAUAUUCAUAAUUAUGAAAUGUGGAGAAAAUCGGAAAUGAAUCGAUUUAUGGUUAUGAAGAAAUUGAUUUAGAACUUCUAAGUUUUGGUUUUCAGAAAUUAUUAAAAUUUAAGUAUUUUUAUGAUUGAGAUUUUAUCUUAGUUUUGAGAAUUUAUAUUAAGUUAUUUGAGUUUAGUUUUAAAUUAAACUAGUUACGAGGUUUAAAGUUUGGACCUUAAUUAUUUAAAAUACGUAGACCUUUUGAGGUCAAAAUUUAUAUUUUUGAAUAGAGCUCGACCUCACGAACGCUGAGGCGCAAACCGUUCAUGAAACGGAGUUAGAACGAAUAAGUUAUUAACUUUUAAAUCGGGGAUAAAUUGGUAAUUUUAAACAUGUAUAGAAGGCUCCAGAAAAUUGGGAGCCAUGUGACAUGCCACAUGUGUGGCUGAGAUGAAAGGAAGAAACAAAAAUGGACAGUUGAGAUUGAAAGAAAAGCAUAGAAAGGAGAGAAGGGGGAAGGAAUCAAGGGAGGAUGGCCAAUGGGGGUAGAGAGAAAGGAGAGGAAAGGAGAGAGGGGAGAAGGAGAGAAUCCUUCGACCCGGUUAUACUUACGACCCGACCCGGUCGGAUCUUUUGAUUUCGGCCACCUUAGACGACGGGAAGGGUGCCAAAUUGAUCCUUACUUCAAACCCAAUCAUUCCCUCUUCCUAGUACACCCCAAAAAUAACAUAUUUGGCCUUGAAAUUAGGAAACACGCACUGGUGGGUGCGGCAGCCAUUGCUCGGGAUUCCCCAAAGUUUGGAAUGUUUCCAUCCAAUUACUACCACCAAAAUACUCUCCUUAAACCCAAGAACAAAGCCCAUGAUUUGGUUAGGGCAUCAGAGUGGUUUUGGAGUCAAAUCAAGAACACCCAAAAAUAAGGGUUCCGACGGUUCGUGGACCAUUUGAGGUGUUUCCAGAGAAAAUUCGCUUUGGCCACAGGUAUCAAAGUUGUUCUACUCAUUAAGAUCUACUUGACUGUAAAAUUUGGAAAUUUUUGGAAAACGUUGAAUUUUUUGACAAGUUAGGGCGGCCGACCGCCACUCACGACAACGCCUGGCCAGUGUGCCGACUCUGCCAUUUUUCAUGCUAAUUUUGAUGUUCUAAAUCCAUAUUUUAUAUUCAUAUGGUGUGAUGAAAAUGUUUGGACUGAAUUUGUGAUUGUUGGUCACUAAAAUGAUAAAGUUAAUGAAUUAGGAAGUGUAUGUGAACUACGAGAGGCUUGAUCCCGCUCAAGGGUAUGUAGGCAGUCUAACAGUGUUAGAUGCAGCCUUAAAUAAUCGAGAAUUUUAUUUUAGUUGAGAAUUAUUCCUAGAUCGUAAAUUUAUUUAAGUCCAGUAAAGGUAGUAAAUUGAUAAAUAUAAUUGUUAUGCUUUGGUAAGAGAAUUAAGGUUAUAAAAGGUGUGGAAUUAAGGAACUUAAUUAAAGAGUCAUGAAUAUUGGCAGCUAAAUAAACGAGAGUUUAAAUUUUGGGCCUAUCACCGAUAAUUAUUGUCAAAAAUAAAUAAUUUCGGGGGCGGGGUUGUAACAUCCCACAUCGCCCAGGGGAGUGAUCCUUAAUUGUAUAUUCCCAUCCCUACCUUGCACGAGGCCUUUUGGGAGCUCACUGGCUUCGGGUUUCGUCAGAACUCCGAAGUUAAGCGAGAAAGAGGCCAAAGCACUCCCAAGAUAAUUGACCUAUUGGGAAGUUGCUCGUGAAUUCCCAAAAAUAAAACCGUGAGGGAAUGGUAAGCCCAAAGUGGACAAUAUCGUGCUACGGUGGUGGAACGGGCCCGAGAUGUGGUGGACCCGGGUCGGGAUAUGACCAAAUGAUAUCAGAGCCAAUCCCUUGCCGGAAGUGUGCUGACGAGGACGUCGGGCCCCUAAGGGGGUGGAUUGUAACAUCCCAUAUCGCCCAGCAGAGUGAUCCUUAAAUGUAUAUUCUCAUCCCUACCUAGCACGAGGCCUUUUGGGAGCUCACUGGCUUCGGGUUCCGUCGGAACUCCGAAGUUAAGCGAGAAAGAGGCCAGAGCAUUCCCAGGAUAGGUGACCCACUGGGAAGUUGGUCGUCAGUUCCCAAAAACAAAACCGUGAGGGAAUGGUUAGCCCAAAGCGAACAAUAUCGUGCUACGGUGGUGGAACGGGCUCGGGAUGUGGUGGACCCGGGCCGAGAUGUGAUAACUUCUCAUUUUCUCCUUCAAAUCCCAUACUCACCCUUCCUCUCCCUUUAAUAUUAUGUAGUCUCCGUGUAGUAACUCCAGCGAGAUCUCGAACCCUUUUACUAAGAUAAGCACCUUAGACUGUUAUAAAAUUUUGUUAGGUUAGAUAAGGGUGUCUUGAGACAUUUUGGAAUGGUGUGGAUGCAGAAUCCUUGGGGAAAAUACAUUUCUUAAAUUUUCUGGAGAGUGACCGUGAGUUUUAGGGAUUUUUCCGACCGAUCUCAAUGGCAACGCCACUCCAUCUUGGUAAGGCUCGAAUCCUUACUCCUUGAUCUUUAUUUUGGCUUUUGAAUGAAGGUUUUUGAUUGAGUUAUGACCCCAAAUCAGAACCAGGGAAGUUUUCCAACAAGAACACCCAAAAUUCGGUGUUCUUCUUAUUUUUCCGGCGGGCCACAAUAUGUUUUGGGCCAAUUGGUCCUAGCCCAAUGAGGAGCCCAUUGUUUUAGCUUUGUAAAUUAGAACCCAGAUUUUAAGACCCAAUUUCGUGGGCUGUGUAGUCAGCCCAAACCCAACCCCAUUUCGAAAAAAAUAAAAAUAAAGAAAGAAAUAAAUAAAUUUAAAUAAUCUGUUGGGCCAACCCAACCUUUAAGUUCAUUUCAAUUUGGACCUCAGCCAAAUAAUUCGUUUAGGCCUUAUGUUUAAAAUGAAUUAAGUCCAUCCAUUUAGCUGUAACUUAGGCUUCAUACUUAAAUUAGAUUAAGUCCAAAAAUUAUUCUAAAAAUAUGGGAAUGCUCGUGGGGUUGAGUAUGCCAUGAUGGUAUAUCAAAUACCCUAAUUGAGCAACAUAUGAAAAGUUAUUUACAGAGUUGAGUAUGUGUUUAAAAUUAACGUUAAAUUAAUUGUUUCACAUUUAGGUGAGACGUUUCCGGAGGAUGAGCGUAGCUAGGCGAGACUCGGGGGUUACGACCCUGCUACAUACUAGUGAGUGGGCUUUUGGUUUUCUAUAUAUAUACGUAUAUAUGUUUUCCAUUUUCCCAGAAAUGGUUUUAAAUGGAUUUACAUUUUUAAAUGCCAUGUCAAUUGCAUUACAUUUUAGUAUAUGCAUUAGUAAAUAUAUGCAUAUUAUUGCUUGACGCUGCGAAUGCCCAGGUAAGCUUCAGGUGAGUACAUAUUGAUGAUAGUGAUUGCAAUAUGUAUGGUUAUGUUUAGAUGCAUUUAGUGCUCAUUAUCCUGCACCUCGGUGUUAGUGCUCCGCCUGAGGCCAGGGCUUAACCUGCACAUGAUCGUUCACCUCCCGCACCACACGCUCACCUUAGAUCUAAGGCAGGUGCCAGCCUGUCGUACAGACCACAUUAGGUGGUUCUGACACAUAGGUGACUUGCGAUACUUCGCACAACCUUCACGUGAUCGUAGCACUUGAGCGUAUCUAUUUACACCUAGCCUGUCGUAUAGACCACAUUAGGUGGUUCUGACUCGUGUGCAAGAAUUAGUAGAUGAGCUAUAGGCUCAGCCUUACAGGUCACGUUAGGUGACUUUGGCUGACAUAUCAUUUUACAUUGAUUUAUUUCACCUGGCUUACUUAUUUCAUUACUGAGAUACUUGACAUGGCAUAUAGUUGGUUUUCACUACUCUCGAGCAUGAUUUCCACAUACGUAUGUAUUACUACUUUCUAGGAAAUUAUACGGGUUUUAUGGUGAGGGGUUAUUAUUUUUGGAAAGUGAAAUGGUUUUAAAAAGCUUUGUUUUUGGCUACUCACGUUUUCUGUUUUGCACCCCUCCAAGUUCUAGUUAGACGUUCAUGUUGGUGGCUUACAAGGACUCUGCAGUGGUUCUAACAAACUUCAAAUAAUGUAGGGAUUUGUUUCAUGUCUUGUAUAAUUAAUACUUAGCCUGCUAGACUGCACUUAGGUUACCUAUGCUUUCAAUACUUGCAUUACUACUUUAAACACCUGAUGCGAAAAUUAACUUCACACCUGAUGCGAAAAUUAACUUAACACACAAAUUAAACCCUCUUGUUGUCAAAUUGUAGUAUAAAUGCAAGUAGGGUUCAUUCUAAACCGGGGAUUAGGAGGGCUUGCUAAAACCUCUAAACUGACUUAAAAACAUAUAAACAAAGUUAAACACUAAACUAGACUCAAAGAACUUAAAACAAACUCAAAGGACUCAAAAUAAGCUAAAAACGCUCAAAUCUGCCUAAAAACACAAACUGGGCAGAUUUGGACUCUAACACACUUUUGGAAUACCUAAAAACACAAAUCAAAACAGAUUUUGACUAAUAAAACAAUUUAAAGUAAAGGGGGUUUUGGUUUUGACGAAUUUGAAAACAAAACAAGUAAAUUAAAGAACUAAUGAAAUCUGCACGAAUUUGAGUAAAUUGAAUGGAUGGAAGGCUAGAUAGGAGGUUCUUCUCCACACAUGACAUACUUGCACAUAAACCAAUUUUCAGUUGUUCUUUCGAUCAAUCAUGAAACUCAACACCCCAGGUUAAUUAAGUCCGCUUAAAUUAACCUUCAAGUUCUCCUUAAGUUAUUGAAUUGGAUGGGAAAUCGCAUACAACAAUUCAAGCAUUCUUCAAAAGUUCUUUAUGUGAACAACACAAUAAAGAUACAAUCAAAGAUCAUUAAGCAUUAUGAAAACUAUAAGUAUUGACGAGGUAUUCGUUACUAUGAUGAGCAUGAAACUCCUGCCAAGAAUUUAUUUAACGCGAUCGUUUAUAUGCGACCUCCACUACUUGUGAAUAUAAGUUUCUAACUAUUAGGUGAAACUCCCUUAUGCUCUAGCAUCAUAUUCAUGCAUGCAAACUAAGUGUGCACUCUUAAUAAACAUACACGAAUAAGUUAUCAAUCAAGCAGUUAAGCAAAUUGAAUUAACAACUUAUGAAAUCACAACUGAAGGUAAUCAAAUCAUAUUGCCAGCAUGAACAUGGUUUCGAAUUCCCCCCUAGCUAAGGGGGAUUUAGUUCCUCAUACUCACAAAGCAAAGAUAAACAAAUUUAGACAUUGAAAACAAAAGUAUGAAAACACCUAAAAACGCUCCAACAAUCCAACUUGAAUGGCAAGCAUGUCCAAAGGUCCUCCUUCUUCUCUUUGUUGCGGCACAAGGUGUGGUUUGAUGGAUGAGUGGUAAAUUAUGGUGGUGGAUGGAUAUAGGUGAGUUAUGGUGAAGGGUGGAUGGGUGGAUUGUGUUCUAUUUUUGGUUGGAUGAGUGCCACAGCAAGGGAAUGGAAUUGUAUGUGUUUGUGGGAUGUGGGAAUAUAUGGAUGAAUGUAAGGUCUUUUCUAAUCGAUCCUAGUUAUGGUGAAGGGUGGAUGUAUUUAUAGGCUAGGGAGAGGAGUGUAUGGAGUUGUAAUGAGUGGAUGUAGUGGUAGGUGAAUGUGUUGGGUGGAAUGAGUGGAUGUAGUGGUAGGUGAAUGGAUGUGUUGGGUGAAAUGAGUGGAUGUAGUGGUAGGUGAAUGGAUGUGUUGGGUGGAUGUAGUGGUAGGUGAAUGUGUUGGGUGAAAUGAGUGUGCUAAAAUGGUUAUUUAUAGGGAGAGGAUGAUGCACAAACUUCAAAUUUCGUCCAUUCCUUUUGCUCCAAGCAUAUGCUAUCCAUUCCAUGCCCAAAAAUGCUCCAAAAUGCACUUCUUUGCCACAUUAACCCUUUGGACCUACAAACACACGAAAAUAGCUUAAAAUACUAAAAUAACUACAAACUAACAACAUAAAUGCCAAGAAACAAGCUAACUAAGUCGCAUAAAUAUGCUUCUAUCAACACCUAUGCACACUUUUAUAGUUAUCUUAGUGUAAAUUAGUUAGUUUUGGUUUUUAAUUACUCACAUUUUCGUAUCACUUCCGCUCUGCGCUCAUGGCUACGUCACCCUCACGUGAUAGCCAGCUUGCCUCGAUUACGGUCGGCCUGCAUAUUUGGUGAGUAUUCUAAUCAUUUUGAUGUCUUAUGUCAGAACCAUGCCGCCUCGUAGAGGGCCAUAUACUUAUUCUGAGUCUAAUUUCCCAAAUAUUGCCUAACUUGGUGAAGCUAUUGCUAAUGUUAUUCAAUCAUCGCUACGUCCUCCCCAGAGAACCCCUUUGGAGAUUGUAUAUAACUUAAAGUUAAAUAAUUUUGUUGGUACUCAGGGAGCUGAGCGUUAGCUCAAUCAUGUUGAGAAAACCUAUCGAGUGAUACAGCGACAUAGGAAUUUCCCUGAGGAUAUAUAGGUCGAGACGACCACUUGGUUUUUGGGUGAGGAGGCUGCAUCCUGGUGGAGGCAGGAAUCUUUUCAGUUGUCAUCAGAAAAAGCUGCAGAUUGGGAGGUUUUUAAGCAUCUAUUCCAGAAGAGAUUUGUACCUCCAGAGUAUUUGGAUCGUAAGAAGGAAGAAUUCUCACAUUUGAAACAGGGGAAAAUGUUAGCUAAUGAGUACCAUAGAAAGUUUACUAAUUUGUCCUGAUAUUGUCCAGAGAUUGCUGAAAAUCCUGCUGAAAUGCUUGACGAUUUAAGUGGGGUACUCGAAAGAAAUGGCGUUCUAUGGCGACUAUAACUCCCUUUUCUACAUAUCAGGAGUUUUAUAAUUUCUACUUCGAGUUAAAGACUCUGAGAAUGCUCCAGAUAACAGUGAGGAGGAAGAAGAAAAAGAUAAUAGCCAGAAGAAAAAUAAUAAUAAAGAUAAAAGCCAAUCAUCACAAGGACCUUGCAAGACGCAGAGUUUUAAGAGAAGUGGUACUAAUUCUAGUUCUUCUAGUGGGGGCUCGAGUUCCACUGUGCCUCGGAGGGGCGGCCGUUCAUGAGGUUCCCUCUUUCAGAGGCAGAGAGAUUUUAGUGGUUUUGGUAGUCCAUUUGCCGUAGAUGUAAUAGUCGACAUUUUGGGGAAUGUAGACAGGGUAACAGAGGAUGUUUUGUUUGUGGUCAGACGGGACACCGGGCUAAUCAGUGCCCACAGAGCCAGCAGAAGCCCCAGCCACCUUCCUUGCCACCACCAGUUCCUAUUUAGCAAGUCUCACGGUCUAGUGGUUAUACCCUGAUGGGUAAUGGGGGUGCAUAUCAUUAUCAGAAAAUAUAGCUCCAUAUCAUGGAGGACCUUAUCAGUACCCACACGAUUCAUAUCACCAGGGUGGUUACGCUCUGCACCUAGGAGGUUACACGCCAUAUCCACCAUAUCCAGGUGGUGGAUCAUAGUGGUAUCCGGAAGGGUAGUCCUAGAACGUUGAGGCUGCUUCUAGCAGUGCUGGGUCAACUAGGCAGCCUAAUCAGCUUGGUCAAGGAUGUGGUUUGCAGAGACGUGGAAAUCAAGCUAACAGAGGUCAUGGAGGACGGCAACAGCCAUAAUUUCAUGUUCAUCACAUUACUCUGCAGGAUGCGUAGAGUAAUCCUGAUCUUAUUAUGGGUACGUUGAAUAUUCUUGGCCAUUUUGCUAGAGUAUUAAUUGAUUCUGGUGCCACACAGUCUGUUAUUUCUCAUACGUUUGCUCAAAAGAUGCAACCCUACCCUACACUUCUUGGUUAUGAAUUAGAAUUUUCUAUGCUUAGGGGUGAGACAUGUUAUGUUAGCUGGGCAUAUCAAGGAUGUCCUAUUCUGGUAGAGGACAUCGUUAUGCCAGCUAAUCUUGUUCCAUUAGAUAUUGUUGAUUUCGAUGUUAUUCUAGGCAUGGAUUGGUUACAUUACAAUCGUGCCAAAUUGGAUUGUUAUGAGAAGACAUUCACUUUCCAUCGGUCGGGCUUGCCUGUGGUUACCUUUGUGAGUGUUCGUAAUGGACUGAAACAUGACGCUAUUUCUGCCGUGAGGGCUAGAUGGCUAAUGAAAAGGUUGUCAGGUUUAUUUGGCUCACGUGGUAUUAAAUGAGGAUACUCCUAUCCGUGUGAAGGAUGUACAGGUAGUUAGGCACUUCCCUGAUGUUUUCCCUAACGAUUUACUUGGAUUACCACCAGAUAGAGAAAUAGAGUUCACUAUUGAUUUACUUCUAGGUACAUAUCCUAUUUCCUUAACUCCUUAUCAAAUGGCUCCUAUUGAGUUGAGGGAAUUGACCCAGUUGCAGGAAUUAGUUGAUAAGGGUUUCAUUUAGCCUGGUACUUUACCUUGGGGAGCUCCAGUUUUAUUUGUACGGAAGAAGGACGGGACUUUGAGGCUGUGUCUCGAUUAUCGACAGUUGAAUCAGGUAACGAUUAAAAACCAUUAUUGCCUCGUAUUGACGAUCUGUUUUACUAGCUUUGAGGUGCUUGCGUGUUCUCCAAGAUUGAUUUGAGAUCUGGGUAUUAUCAGUUGAAGAUCAGGUGUGAGGAUGUCUCGAAGACAGCGUUUCAGACUCGUUAUGGUCAUUAUGAGUUCCUUGUGAUGCCAUUUGGGUUAACGAAUGCUCCAAUAGCCUUUAUGGAUUUGAUGAAUCAGGUAUUUCACCCGUAUCUUGACAGGUUUGUUAUUGUUUUCAUUGAUGAUAUUUUGGUAUAUUCUAAAUCUAAGGCGGAGCAUACUAGACAUCUCACUCUGGUUUUGAAAAAAUUGAGGGAACACCAGCUAUAUGCUAAGUUUAGUAAAUGCCAAUUCUGGCUGAAUCAAGCGUCGUUCUUAAGACAUGUGAUAACAACUUAGGGUAUUCUGGUGGAACCACAGAAAGUAAUUGCACUUCAAAAUUAGGAGCAGCCGUCACCGAGGUACGGAGUUUUCUCUACUUAGCAGAUUAUUACCAACAAUUUGUGAAAGAUUUUUCAACCAUAGCUUUACCACUGACGAGGUUGACCAGAAAAGAUGUUAAAUUCGAGUGGGAUGAUGAUUAUGAGUGGAGUUUCCAGCAGCUAAAGUAUUGUCUCACUCAUACACUUGUUUUGGCACUUCCAGACGACAUUGGUAAUUUUGAGAUUUACAAUGAUGCUUUUUUGAAUGGUUUAGGCUGUGUGUUAAUGCAGCAUGGCAGGGUAAUCGCGUAUGCUUCGUGACAGUUGAAACCUCACGAGAUGAAUUACCCCACACAUGAUCUUGAGCUAGCAACUAAUAUUUUUGCCCUGAAGAUUUGGAGGCAUUAUUUAUAUGGAGAAAAGUGUAAGAUUUUCACAGAUCAUAAAAGCUUCAAGUACAUUUUCGCCCAGAAAGAUCUUAACCUUUGGCAACGAAGGUGGAUAGAAUUGCUCAAUGAUUAUGAUUGCACAAUUGAGUAUCACCUUGGUCGUGGAAACACAGUGGCAGACGCACUUAGUAGGAAAUCACAUGGAUGUAUCCCUCUUCUCACAAAAUUAGGAUCUACUGGAGUUGAUUUGGGAGUGGAGGAUCGGGAGGUAGCAUUACUCGCAAGUUUUUGAGUUAGACCAAUUUUGAUAGAUCGUGUACUCGAGGCUCAAAUGAAUGAUGAGGAAUCUCAAGAGUUUAUUCAGGCAGUUUCAGAAGGGAAAAAGAAAGAUCUUAGAAUUCGGGAAUUUGAUGGCAUGUUUAUGCAGGGAAGUCGGAUGUACGUGCGAAAUAUUGCAGAACUAAAGAAAGAUAUACUCGAUUAGGCACAUAUAUCGGCCUAUGCGAUGCAUCAUGGGAGUACCAAGAUGUAUCACACUAUUCGACCUUUCUAAUAUUGGCCUAGCAUGAAAAGAAAGAUUGCUGAAUAUAUGAGUCAAUGUGCAAUUUGUCAGCAAGUCAAAGCUGAGAGGAAGAAGCCUUUUGGAUUAAUGUAGCCACUUCCCGUUCCCCAAUGAAAAUGGGAAAAUAUUACCAUGGAUUUCGUAUAAAAGCUUCCUCGUACGUGAAAUGGCUACAAUGGCAUCUGGGUGAUAGUGGAUCGGCUUACCAAGUCAGCAUAUUUUAUACCAGUUCAAGAAAACUAUUCUUUAAGUCGAUUAGUUGAGCUAUUUAUAUCAGAGAUUGUUAAAUACCAUGGGGUUUCGGUUAAUAUUAUUUCUGAUCGGGAUCCUAGGUUUACUUCUAAGUUUUGGGUGGCUUUCAAGGAAGUUCUUGGUUUGAGAUUGCUUUAUAGUACGACGUAUCAUCCACAGACAGAUGGGCAAUCCGAGAGAACUAUCCAGACACUAGAAGUUGAGAUCUUCAGUACUACAGUUUGGCGACGCUUGGCAUAAGCGUUUGGAUUUGAUGAAGUUUGCCUACAAUAACAGCUACCAUUCUAGCAUCGAUAUGUCACCUUUCGAGGCACUUUAUGGUAAGUCAUGUCGUACUCCUCUAUGUUGGUCAGAAGUUGGUGAGUUGGUGUUAGUGGGCCCUGAGAUUGUUGAUGACACUACCCAAAAUAUUCAUGUAAUUAAAGCUAACUUGAAAGUGGCCCAAGAUCGACAUAAGGGUCUUGCCGAUAAAGAUGCCACUGAUAGAGUAUAUAACGUUGGAGAGUGGGUAUUUCUGAAGCUAUCUCCGUGGAAAGGCGUGUUGGAAAUGUGCCCUAAAACCAAUCAUAUGAUGAUACUUUACGGACAUUUCACAUGUUAAACUAAUCUAGUUUAAUAUCAAGGGCAAAGAUUAUUGUUUGAGCCGUCUCAUAUAAAUGUUAUAUGCUUAAACAAUAAGUCCAAGGAAUUUUUGAUUGGGAGAAUGCAAUCUAAAGAAGUUAGAUUCAUGAGACCAUUCUUUCGUAGACACAUCCUAAACGUUCCUGAUCAUAGGAUUGCCAAUUGGGCAUUGACAGUCCGUUAAGAUCAGUACGUGUUGUGUCUUCUCAGGGAGAGUGACUAGUCUCGAGUCAUUGGUGUGUAUGACAUCAAGACAAGUACGUAGGUGCUCAAUAGAGAAUGAGUUCACUGAACACGACCAACGAAGAGUUCUCAUAUUCAUGUCACAUGAGAACUCCUGGUUGGGAUAAUGCAAAGUAGUCCUUUGACCUGAGGCAUCAUAGUUGUCUUGUGGUUAAGUCCUUGAUCUUUGAUUAUGUCAAAAGUCACUCCAAAAGGAGGGUGUCCACGGCAUAGUUGGGGUUAAGCCACUUAGCUAUGGAGGCAAGUGAAUGUGCAACAAGGGAUCUCUAACCUUCAAACCGUUUGGGGGAGAAUACUCUAUGAUAUGAUUAAGAAUCUCUGGCCAGAGUAUGAAUGAGAUUUAGGAAAGUCGUUCCAAAUCACAUUCAAGGUAAUCAUAUAAGCACACGAAUCACAUUGGAUAGUAGACAUGACCAAACAAUGUGGUCAAGAGUAUUGUAUUAGAGAAAGACCGUAUUGCAUUUGUAAUCCUAAACUGAGUAGGUUCUCUACCUCUUCUGAUUAGCUUGGGUAACCAUGAUAUGGUGCUAGGUGUCACUCUUGGUUUGUGGAAGCCCUAAACGUGUAUAAACACUAAAGGGAGAAUUGAAAGUAAGUUUCAAUUCACAAUCGAUUUGAAAGAGUUUUAAUCGCCCACUGCCUCGCUAAAAGGAACCUAAUGGAUCGUACACCGUGUAAGGUGGAGAUUGAAGAAACAAUGGAGAUGAGUAAGAAUAAUUAAAUGGUUUAAUUAUUUAUGGUACGGAUUAAUUAAUAUGUUAAUUAAUCAAACGAAUAAGUUCGUUAAAGACCUCGGGAUAGUUUUGGACCUUAAGGCCCAAUGGGCUUCGAACGUCAAGCCCAUUGACUUAAGUUGUAUGACAAUUUAAUAAAUAAAGAUUCACAAAGGCCCAAAAGCCCAAAUCCCUUAUGUGGCCGGCCAUGUGUGUGUUGAAUUAGGGUUUUUGGUUCUUUAGGUCAUUUAAAGAAGUGACUAUAUAAAGAACUUUAUAGCCUAAAAUUUAUUAAGGGUUUCUUUUAGGAAAUUGGAGAGAACACAAAGCUCUCCUUUCUCUCUAAAGAGGCCGGCCCCCUUGGAGGGAUUAGCUAGCAAUCCCACUCCUCCAAGGCCACUCAUUUCUUCUCCAAUCUAACCUUGGUGUAGACACUUAGAGGUUCUCAAUUUUGGGAACUUGGAGAACCAUAUUCUUCCAUCCAAAUCCAUGGAUCUAAGAAGCAAGGAAUGAAGGCCCUCUCUUUGGGUGAUUAGCCUUUGCUUAUGCAAAGAGGAAUCUACAAAGAUAUAAAUUUCAACUCACUUUGUUUUGAGUUGAGUCUUGGUUCACCAAUCUACUAGGCUUUGAAUUUCAUGGGUAAUGUUUUGUUUUUGAGUGCAUGCAAGCAUGAUUCCGCCUUUAAUUGUUAAUUGCAUGCUUAUAGAUGUUGCUCAAAUGAACAUGUUUUCUCAAAAUCAUUCUUCAAGGCGUAGUACGGUUCGGUAAGAAAGGUAAGUUAAGUUCUCGCUACCGUAAUAGAUCACCAAACGAAUCGGUGAAGUUUCCUACAAACUUAAGUUACCCCCAGAGCUAUCAAAGGUGCACGGCAUUUUUCAUGUCUCAAUGCUUUAUCAUUAUGUCUCUUACCCAUCACAUGUGAUACCUCCUCAACCACUAGAAAUUAAUCCAGACUUGACAUAUGACGAGGAGCCAGUGACGAUUUUAGAUUGGAAUGAUGAGGUUCUUAGGAACAAAACUAUGCGCAUGGUGAAAGUUUUGUGGAGGAACCAUUCAGUGGAGGAAGCCACUUAGGAGAUGGAGGAUGGUAUGCAAGAUUUAUAUCCACACCUAUUUUAUGGAUAUUAAUAUCUAUUAUGCUAGUAUACAGAAAUUUCGGGGACGAAAUUUUCUUAAGGGGGUAAGUUGUGACUGACUUGUCUCGAAUAAAUAUAUAUUUUCUCCCCGUAUGUGUGAAAAUGACGAUUAUGCCCUUGUUGGCUUGGUGACGUGGAUGUACGUACAUAGUUUUAAAUUAUUUUCUCGCUCACGAAAUUAAAUGGUGCUCGACGUCAUGGGCACAUCGACCUAAAUUAAGAACGAGAAUGGGCAAAAUUCUAUUUUUGGAUUGGUUUAUUUCUUCUUUGGACCUAUUUUUUUAGGGCUUAAACUCUAUGACCCAAUCAAGGGCCUUAUUAUUUUUCCCUUCCUACCCGUGCCUCCCCUCACUCCAGAAACUUCCUUUCUCUCCCUCACACUCUCCCGCACUUCUCCCUCUCUCGGUGCUCUCGUCCCCGACACAACACACACGCACAUACAUACUUGCACACACUGCAACUAUCAAGACUUCUCCUUUUCUCCCUCAUAUCCCAUACUCACCCCUCCUCACCCUUUAAUAUUUUGUAGUCUCCGUGUGGUAACUCCGGCGAGAUCUCUAAGCACCUUAGACUGUUAUAAAAUUGUGUUAGGUUAGAUAAGGGUGUCUUAAGACAUUUUGGAAUGGUGUGGAUGCAGAAUCCUUGGGGAAAAUACAUUUCUUAAAUUUUCCGGUGAGUGAUCAUGAGUUUUAAGGAUUUUCCGACCGAUCGCGACGGCAACGCCACUCCACCUUGGUAAGGCUGAAAUCCUUACUCCUUGGUCUUCAUUUUGGCUUUUGAAUGAAGGUUUUUGUUUGAGUUAUGACCCCAAAUCAGAACCGAGGAAGUUUUCCGACAAGAACACCCAAAAUCCGGUGUUCUUCUUCAUAUAUUUUCCGGCGGGCCACAAUAUGUUUUGGGCCAAUUCGUCCUAGCCCAAUGAAGAGCCCAUUGUUUUAGCUUUGUAAAUUAGAACCCAAAUUUUAAGUCCCAAUUUAGUGGGCUGUGUGGUCAGCCCAAACCCAAGCCCAUUUCGAAAAAGAUAAAAAAAAAAAAAAAAAUAUAAAUAAUCUGUUAGGCCAACCCAACCUUUAAGUGCCUUUCAAUUUGGACCUAAGCCAUUUAAUUGGUUUAGGCCUUAUGUUUAAAAUGAAUUAAGUCCAUUUAGUUGUAAUUUAGGCUUCAUACUUAAAUUAGAUUAAGUCCAAAAAUUAAUCUAAAAAUAUGGGAAUGCUCGUGGUGUUGAGUAGGCCACAAUGGUAUAUUCAAAUACCACAAUUGAGCAACAUAUGAGAAGUUAUUUAAAAAGUUGAGUAUGUGUUUAAAAUUAAUGUUAAAUUAGUUGUUUCACAUUUAGGUGAGACGUUUCCAGAGGAUGAGCGUAGCCACCCUAGACUUGGGGGUUACGAUCCUGCUACAUACUAGUGAGUGGGCUUUUGGUUUUCUAUAUAUAUAUGUAUAUAUGCUUUCCAUUUUCCUAGAAAUGGUUUUAAAUGGAUUUAUGUUUUUAAAUGCCAUGUCAAUUGCAUUACAUUUUAGUAUAUGCAUUAGUAUAGAUAUGUAUAUUAUUGCAUGACGCUGCGGAAGCCCAGGUAAGCUUCAGGUGAGUACAUAUUGAUGAUAGUGAUUGCAGUAUGUAUGGUUAUGUUUAGAUGCAUUUAGUGCUCAUUAUCCUGUACCCUGAUGUUAGUGCUCCGCCCGAGGCUAAAGCCUAGCCUUCAUGUGAUCGUUCACCUCCCGCACCACACGCUCACCUUGCAUUUAAGGCAAGUGCCAGCCUGUCGUAUAAACCACAUUAGGUGGUUCUAAAUCGUAGGUGACUUGCGAUACUUCGCAUAGCCUUCACGCGAUCGUAGCACUUGAGCAUAUCUAUUUACACCCAGCCUGUCGUACAGACCACAUUAGGUGAUUCUGACUUGUGUGAGGAAUUGGUAGAUGUGCUAUAGGCUCAACCGUACAAGUCACGUUAGGUGACUCUGACUGACAUAUAAUUUUACAUUGAUUUAUUUCACAUGGCUGACUUAUUUCAUUGUUGAGAUACUUGACAUGGCAUAUAGUUGGUUUUCACUACUCUCAAGCAUGAUUUCUACAUACAUAUAUAUUACUACUUUCUGGGAAAUUAUAUGGGUUUUAUGAUGAGGUGUUAUUAUUUUUGGAAAGAGAAAUGGUUUUAAAAAGCUUUAUUUUUUCCCACUCACGUUUUCUGUUUUGCGCCUCUCCAGGUUCUAGUUAGACGUUCGUGUUGGUGGAUUAUGAGGACUCUACGGCGGUUCUGACAGACUUCAAAUAAUGUAGGGAUUUCUUUCAUGUCUUGUAUAAUUAAUACUUAGCUUGCUGGAUUGCACUUAGGUUACCUACGCUCUGAAUACUUGCAUUACUACUUUAAACACCUAUUCACACUUUUAUAGUUAUCUUAGUGUAAAUUAGUUAGUUUUGGUUUUUAAUUACUCACAUUUUCGUAUCACUUCCGCUAUGCGCUCAUGGCUACGCCACCCUCACGUGAUAGCCAACAUGCUUCCAUUCCGGUUAGGGUGUGCCAGUAGAGCAUCGUAGAAAAUUUAACUCACUCACUUUUGUCCUUGUACAAACUAAAGAACAGGACUUGGCUAUUGAAGAUUCAGCAGCAUCCCUUGCUGAUAACCAAUCACGGCUGGACACGUGUUCAAGUUAUAAAUUUUUUAAUCACAACUUUGAUACAUAUUCAACCGUGAUUGGUCACCAGAGAGUGUUGCUGGUUCUUUGAGUAGCCAAGUUCUAUCCCAAACUAAAUAUAGUCCCGCAGAGGAAAAUUCCAAAGGUUCUUACCAGAAGAAUCCUUCGGUGACGUCACAUGGUGUAGGGCAUGUCACAUUUUCAGAUUUUCUGCCCUUAUUGGCUUCUGCAGCUGACCCCUGGUGGAGCAAUUGUCACAGUCAAAACUGACCAUUGUUCUUGAGGCGUAUAUACCGGAUUGUAAUAGGAUCCUAGGAUGGGGACAUAUGUGGGUGCAUGUCAUCCCAACCUGAUGUAUAUUAAUUAUUUUUUUUCACCUGCAGGACUUUUCUAAUCCCAUAUAUUUGAAAUCUUAUUCACGUUGCUGUCAUAUUUAUAUCAAUACUACAAUAUUGUAUAUAAACUUACGCAUGUCUUGUAUUAUUGCACAAAAUGUCACAACGACGAUAUACUUAUGCUAUAAAAAUUAUUCUCCUGGUUUUGACAUUGCUAUUUCCUAAACAAUUAGUGAUAAUUUACACAAUAAAAAAGACAAAAAAAUUGAGAAAAAAAUUCAUUUCUGUAAUUUUAUAUAAAGAAGAUUUAAUAAGAUGAAAUUAAUUAUCGCAUAUGCAUACAUCUCUAUUUCCUCUUGUCAUGUUUUUCAAACUAGUUAGGUGCAACUACAAUAACAAAAAAAAGGUUGAAUUGUGGGUACAAAAAAAAAAGAUGAAUUUUUUUUUUUAACAAAAGAAAACCAAACGGUGAUAUUUAAAGUGUAUCAAUGUACUCUAAAUGAUAUUACAUACAUAUAUAUAUACUAAGUUACUGAUACGUUUAUAUUAUCAACUUUAAUAUAUAAAAAGCUAACAACAAGUUAUGUGUAACCCUAAACCCUAUUGGUACGUUUCAAGCCAAUAAUUGUACAUUUCAAUACAGCUUGGGAAAUUGCAAUUUAGUAAGCAUACAUUUUAGUUAGGUAUAUGAAUAAGUUUUAAUUUAGCAUAGGUACGUUUUAAUUUGAGAAUAAGUUGUGUUGGUAAAAGAAUGAUGGUACAUUUCAAUUAAAUCAUACUCGAAUUUCUAGAGACAAAAAUAAAGAAUGAGACUUAACCAUUAACGACAAUAUUUACAGUAAUGAAGAACAAAGUAUGACACGACCAAUUAGCUUUAAUUUUAAUUUUCUCUUUUCUUAACGGUUCUUAAAGGAUUAGGUCAUUUUACCUAUUAAUUUUAACGGUAAAAUGAUACGACCUGUUAAGAUAAUGGGUAUGACUCGUUAAGAUAACAAGUAUUAUACAAAAUGACACAAACACGACAAACAUGACUCAUUCGCCAUACCUAUUUACGAUCCAUGACAUCAGCGAGCAGACAAAGUCAACAACAUGUUGACUCAUGACAUGGGAGCCAUCAUUGACACUAAGUUCCCUAUGGAACACUAGUAGAAAAAAUAGCUUGUGUCUCAAUAUUUUGCGCAAAGAAGAAGAUUUCAUCACAUAAGUGUAACUUACGCAACAAAAACACACGACACACUUAGGUCGUGCGAACAAUUUCUUCGCGCAAGAGGACUUCACACAACGAUUACUAGUGUUGCUGAAAAGGCAGGUAAAUAAAAUAUGGGGCCAAAAGGCAGGUAAAUAAAAUAUGGGGCCAAAAGUUUGCGCGACGAGUUUUUCUACAUAUUCAUCGCACAAAGUGUUGCUGAAAACGGUCAGCUGCGCAUUAAACCUCUCAUUUAUAGUGCGCAUAUAUAACACACUUUGCACGACUAAGGAUUUGUCGCGCAAAGUGUGUUGGGUUUACAUUGUUUCGAAACCCUAUUUUGCAAAGGUUUUGUUUCAAACGAUGGCUGAUUCAGUUUCAGAUUCAACGAAAAGUUGGGAAGGAGAAGGCUCUCGUGAAGUGAAAGGUAAAAAAAAUUAAUUGUUUUACAUUUGAUAUGGUUGAAAUUAUUGUUUUAAUAGGCUAUUAUAAUUAGAUCUUUGUGGUAGGAAACAAACUGAGGAAAGUUGUGUUGACAAUAGAGAGGUACCGACGUAAGUGUUUGCCCUCGUUUGAUGACAAAAGUUCGGCUUAAGAGUUUAUCGAACUUAUGUUCGAUAUAGGGGGAUUGGUGCUGAAGCAGUGUUCUACUGAGUUUAAGUCUUGGAAAAUGGUGCUUGUGGACUUGAAGAACUCCAUGGUGCAGGAGUUAUCGGUAAGUUUGUAUUAAAGAAUGUGUAAUUGUUUUUGUUUAAAAGUGAUAUUUUUGCGAUAACUAAUUUAAUUUUAUUGCCAUUAUAGGUUGUUUGGGAUGUUGAUGAAACUGAUGAGAAAUAGCGGAAGUAUGUGGAUGACCUUUUCAAGAUGCAGUUCCGGCAAUGGAAGUUCGAUGUACAACGGGCUGCUAUAGCUACCGAUGCCCUUGCUAAUGACCCAGAGGAAGAGUGAACUUAAUUUGUUUUGUUUUUAAUCUUUUUUGUUUAUGAAAUAAGAUUUAUUUGAACGUUAUGUUGGACUUUAUUUUUAAAAUUUAUGUUACAUGGACGGCUUAAAGUUUACAUUAGUUAUAAUAUAUAUUUUUGUUAAUAAAUUAUUUUUAAUAAAUAUAUUGGUAAUAUAUAAUUUGGUUUGAUAAUUUUAAUUCGAUAACAACAAUUUACAUUAGAUAGAAAGAAAACGGAAAAAAAAUAAUGCAACUUGCAUGAUGAAUAUAGUGUUCAUCAUGCAAAUAGUUUACAUUAUUAAAUUAUAAAGAAAACGAAAAAGAGAAUUUUGCAAAAAAAAAAAAAAAGAAAAAAAAAAGGUCACUUGUGCAACGAAGUUAUAUUUCGCCGCACAAAGUGAUUCUCCCAAAAGUAAUUAUAACGUGACUUUUGUUGCAGAGGUAGAAAAUUGUUGAAAAACUACAUAUUUUGCCUCUACACCUUCCUUCCCUUCGUUUUUCUUCAAUUCAGGAUCCAUCGUUCCUAUUUUCUCUCAAUUUCUUCCUCUAAUACUUUGUCCAUCUAAAUCUCAAUCUUCUCUAGGUUGAUGGAGCUAUUUUGGUGUGUUUGGUAACGGUUUUUGUUAUGUUCAUUUAAAAGUAUCAAUGUCAAUACAUUCUAACACUGUAAAAUUCGUUGUGUAUAGGGAUAUUGUGUGUGACUAGCACUCGGUGGAUAACGAUUUGGAAGGUAUUUUCUUCAUUUUAUUUAAAAAAUAUAUAAAUUAGUUAAAUUAUAUUGAAAUUAUGUUGUUAUGUUUAUAUUAAGUUGUUAAAUUAUAUUUAUUACAAAAAAAUUUAUGUUAUAAUUAUGUACAAUGUUGAGUUGUAUAUGUACAAAUUUGUGUUGUGAUGUAAGAAGUUAAUUGUAAUUAACUUCGUACUUUUUUUUUUUUUUUUUGUAGUAAAACUUAGUUUCCCGUUUGAGGAUUAGUUGGAUGUAGCGCAUGGAUGCGAAAGCAUGACUACGGUCCAAUUGAUUCUUGAAUUGUCCCAUUAUUUGGACAGUUUGGGAAUGCAAAGUUAUGACGCAUAGUUUAUGGUUAAAGGAUUAGGUUUUCGGUCAUGGGGAUUUCAAUGUCAUCUCUGUACGUUCUUCGGGUGGCACAUAGGUAUUUCAUAUCUAUGUCAUGCACUUGAAAAACUGUACAGAGAUGUUGCCAAAAUUUCUCUACGUCGAAAUCUAAUCUAAAGUAGCCAUAAAUUACGUGACAUAAUUUUGCAUUCCCGAAUGGGAUAGGGCCCUUACUGGAGGCAUAAGGUGACAAGAUCAUGUUGAAGUUGUUAUGAUUGUUGUACUGUUAUUGUGGUUGCAGGAAUGAUGGACAGAACGUGGAUGCAAAACCUGAAUAGAUGUGCCAACGAAUACUUGAAUGGAAUCGAGAAUUUUAUUGACUUUGCACUUACAUACAACCCAGGUGCAACUAGAAUCCGAUGUCCUUGUAGGAGGUGUAAUAACACGUUAAGGGAAACUAUUGAAAAUGUUUGAAUUCAUUUAGUAAGAAAUGGAAUGGUAGAGACCUAUGGUAUUGGAACCAUCGCGAGGAACAAUUAGACAAUACUUCGUCUUCAAACGUGACAAGAGUAGGCAAUGUUUAACCUAAUAUGGAUUUGUUUGGACCCGAUUUUACAUCAUCGGCUCGAGCAAUCGAGGUCAUUGGAUAAGUAGAGUUUUGAACCAUUGGAUGACCAAGUGGUUGAGAUGAUUUUCAAUUAUUAUUGAGGAAUAAUAUUGUGGUUUUAAUCAUAAUAUUAUCUCUUGAUAUAUAUUAGCUUAUCUAAGCCUAAUAUUAGCUAUAUCCAGCUGAUUGUUUAAAGAUAAAUGAUGAGGCAGAUCAUAUUUCCAACUUCGAUGUACAGUUCAAACGAGUUUGGGAUGUUUGGUACGAUUCUCACUGCAAUACAAUGGAUUAAUUUAAAAUCAAUGCAUGUGUUGGAUAAUGGUGAAAUGGUGCAAUGAUGGUGAUCAAGAUCAGCAACAAUUUGUGAUAAUGGCAGAGGAUGAUUUGAUUUACAAAUGGUUUGCAUGGAUGAGAUGGCAUGAAAAAAUGAGCUUUUUAUGGUCUCCACGUGGAAGUUUAAUGAAGAUUAUUUGGAAUGGUAUUUCCAAAUGCAUGCACUUGGACGUGAAUAUGGGUCUAAACAUUGCAGGAUUAUUUAGAAUGCUAUAGGAAAAGUUCCAUGUGCUUGUAAAUUGAUCUGAUUGCAUGAUUAUCAUAAGUGGACGACAGUUAUCAAAGUGUGGCUUUGCUCAUUUGGAAUAAUAUUAAUAGGAAUAUUAUUUAUUUCGAUUGGAUACUCCAAGUCACGAAUAACAACUUCAUAGUGUGUUCAUCAAGGCAUGUCCCAAUUAAUACAGAGGUCGAGGGACAUGGAAAAGCCCCCUCCAAUUCAACACACAAACUGCCCUGCGCAAACUCUCGCUCUACACGAAACCUCUCAACAACCUUGAGAUUUUUAUUUUCUUUUUCGCCGACACAUCUUCAGUUUAGAUGCCCUGUGAAGGCAACCGGCGAACAUCUUCAGUUUGGAUAAACAACACUGUCACCGUAGAAUCAGUAGACCUCGAAGCACCUUCAAUUUAGAUAAACAGCAAUGCGUUAAGGCCGACUGGUUAUCUAUCCAAGUCUCGGUCGAGAAGGGUUUUCGAAUCCUUAUUGGCAGAGGUCAUCUCACGAGCCUUCUCGGCAAAACAUCCCUACGUCAAGGCCGACUAGUUAGACUCAGCGCCUUGAACGCUGAGUUAUUUUAUGAUUGGAUAUUCACAAGUUGGAUUUAGAGUUCGGCAUUCUGACGGCCGAACCACAUUUACGAUUAAGACGUACAUCUGCUUUGAAUACUUGUGUCCAUAUAGUCUGGUGUUGAUUCGGCGUGCUUAUACUCUUACUAAUAUAAUCACUGUGAUCGAAUCCGAAGCCGACGAUUUGUGAACUUCGUAGAACUAGCAACCUUAUCUUCAGGCUCUAGAACCCAAAGGCCGAGAUGUGUUCCUUCCUUGGCCGCAAUCGCGAGAUUCAAAGCGCACCCAAUGCAACAUCAACAAAUUUUACUCACCCGUCGAGUUGGCACACCUCGCACACAACCAAAAGAUGUAGUUAGCUCAUUAAUUACUCAGUUUGCGUGCCAUGUAGGUUUGGUAGUUUUUAGGGUCAACAUUUUGGCACGCCCGAUGGGACCAAGUGCUAAAACUAUGAAGUUCAAAUGAUAUAUCAAGAUCACAAUCAUGAUGAGAUUCGGCGCCUAUUCAAGGAAAUUGUCGAGCAACAAAAACUCAUUGACCGGAUCCUUGAAGCAAAUGAAGAAAGGCAAAAAUCUUUCUCUCAAAUGAUGCAGGUGAAGGUUCAUCACAACUUACAAGAUCAAUGGUUAAAUGAAGAUAGAGCUCGAUUUUAUGAGUGGAUCGAUAAAAAAAAACGCCAUUUGGGUACAAAUCAAUUCCAUUUGAAGAAUGGUUGGAUCAAAAGGCCAGGGGGCAAUUUUUCGCUCCGGCCACAACCAACAUUCGACCUAAGAAGAUUGUUGAGACGGCCGAAGAAGAACCUAGGCCACUUGUUUUUUCAGUCGAGACUGAAAUUGUGGUAGGCCUAGAAGCAAAAGUUCAAGUUUCUAAGCUACAAAUCGACUUAGAAAAUGAUUCCUCAGAAGAGUGUUCCAAUGAUGAACAAGGCCGUUACACAACUUCGGACGAAAAAGCCAUAUCAAUUGAUAUGGUAAUUGGAGACAUAGUCUUAGAUGUCGAAACUACAUUGAUCAACAUGAUUAUUGGCGAUAAAGCCGAUAUGGAGAAAUCCCGUUCGGCUAAGUUGUUUGAGUUAAAAGUCGAAAUUGACAAAAUUAUUAUGCCCAGGGGGCUUCAUAAUUGUUCAACAUAUUUGGCGGCCGAAAAUGAAAAAUAUUGUGUCCAGUAAAAAAUAUUUGGAGAAAAUUCUUUAUUCGGCCUAGAGCGAAAUCAAUUUGAAAAUUUUGUUAUUACAAGAUCUCAACUUGGAAUAAAGCAUCAUUGGCCUCCUCCUGAUUAUGGUUCGGCUAUUUUCAUUUUCUUUUGCUAAAAAUUAUUCGGCCUUUCAGGCCAAUACAUAAGAAUAACGGGGUGGACACUGUAUGCUCAACGAUUAGGUGAUUAAAAUUUAGUCUUGCCAAGACUACAUAUUGCCGAGACUACAUAUUAUAUAGAGUUUUGGUGUUGAACAGAUACCAUGCAGCGUUUGUCGGUUUGUGUGGCGGUGUCGACGAAAACAAAUUAUUUUCUUAAUCAUUCGGUCGUGUAGGCUGAUGCUUAAGAACAUAAAAGGGGGCCGAGAAACAUCUCAUGGGGCACACUUAGAGUCCUCGAGGCUUUGACUUCAUUUGGUUUUUCUCAGCCUUCAACCCUCGUUGGUUUUCCUCAGCCCAAAUUUUCUCGGUGUCAUUUGCAAGCUCUAUCCUUCAAGAUGGUCGAAAUAAUUACAAGGCUAUUUAUUAAAGCUGCCGAGCCUUGUAUAUAUUUAUGGCAGCCAAGGAAGACCAUAGCGUUGGCAACACAGAGAUGUUAUUGCCGAGGAACAAAGUUUCUUUUUCGGCGAUACGGGAUUUUGCUAGCUACAAAAUAAUUAAUUUCCUUGACCAUUCGGCUUGCUAGCUGAAGUUCAAGGAAACUGGGGGGCAAUGUUUGGACCCGAUUUUACAUCAUCAGCCCAAGCAAUCGAGGCCGUUGGAUAAGUAGAGUUUUGAACCAUUAGAUGACAAAGUGGUUGAGAUGAUUUUCAAUUAUUAUUGAGGAAUAAUAUUGUGGUUUUAAUCAUAAUAUUAUCUCUUGAUAUAUAUUAGCUUAUCUAAGCCUAAUAUUAGCUAUAUCCAGUUGAUUGUUUAAAGAUAAGUGAUGAGGCAAAUCAUAUUUCCAACUUGGAAGUACAGUUCAAACAAGUUUGGGAUGUUUGGUACAAUUCUCGCUGCAAUACAAUGGAUUAAUUUAAAAUCAAUGCAUGUAAUGGAUAAUGGUAAAAUGGCGCAAUGAUGGUGAUCAGGAUCAACAACAAUUUGUGAUAAUGGCAAGGGAGGAUUUGAUUUGCAAAUGGUUUGCAUGGAUGAGAAGGCAUGAAAAAAUGAGCUUUUUAUGGUCUCCACGUGGAAAUUUAAUGAACAUUAUCUGGAAUGGUAAUUCCAAAUGCAUGCACUUGGACGUGAAUAUGGGUCUAAACAUUGCACGGUUAUUUAGAAUUCUAUGGCAAGAGUUCCAUGCGCUUGUAAAUUGAUCUGAUUGCAUGGUUAUCAUAAGUGGACGACAGUUAUCAGAGUGUGGCUUUGCUCAUUUGGAAUAAUAUUCAUAGGAAUAUUAUUUAUUUCGAUUGGAUACUCCAAGUCACAUCAACAACUUCAUAGUGUGUUCAUCAAGGCACGUCCCUAUUAAUACAGAGGUCAUGGACAUGGAAAAGCCCCCUCCAAUUCAACACACAAACUGCCCUGCGCAAACUCUCGCUCUACACGAAACCUCUCAACAACCUUGAGAUUUUUAUUUUCUUUUUCGCCGACACAUCUUUAGUUUAGAUGCCCUGUAAAGGCAACCGGCGAACAUCUUCAGUUUGGAUAAACAACACUGUCACCGUAGAAUCAGUAGACCGCGAAGCACCUUCAAUUUAGAUAAACAGCACUGCGUCAAGGCUGACUGGUUAUCUAUCCAAGUCUCGGUCGAGAAGGGUUUUCGAAUCCUUAUUGGCAAAGGUCAUCUCACAAGCCUUCUCGGCAAAGUGAGGUGUUACGAAUCGCUAGACUCAGCGCAUUGAAUGUCGAGUUAUUUUAUGAUUGGAUAUUCACAAGUUGGAUUUAAAGUUCGGCAUUCUGACGGCCGAACCAUAUUUACGAUUAAGACGUACAUUUGUUUUGAAUACUUAUGUCCAUAUAGUCUAGUGUCGAUUUGGCGUACUUAUACUCUUAUGAAUAUAAUCACUGUGGCAGAAUCCGACGCCGACUAUUUGUGAACUUUGUAGACCUAGCAGCCUUGUCUUUAGGCUUUAGAAUCCGAAGGCUGAGACGUGUUCCUUCCUCGACCGCAAUCGCAAGAUUCAGAAGUCAUCAGCGCACCCAACGCAAGAUCAACAAAUUUUACGUAUCGGUCGAGCUCGGCCAUCGAGUUGGCAAGCUUCGUACAUAACCGAAGGAUGUAGUUAGCUCAUUAAUUACUCGGCCUGCACACCACGUAGGUUUGGUAGUUUUUAAGGUCAAUAAGAUCCUAAAGAACAAGUCAUGGAAAUCUUAAAUGACGUUUUUCCAUUUGCGUUAACAAAUACCAAUCAGGAAGUGGAUGAUGACAUGCCUACACCAAUGGAUAGUGGAGAAUUAGAACAUUAUGAAAAACUAUUAAAAAAUGGCAACCAAGAGUUAUGCGCGGGGUGUGAGGGAUUUUCGGUUCUCACAGCUAUUGUGGAACUAAUGCACGGGAAAAUAAAGUAUUGUAUGUCGAACUAGUUUUUUGAUUACUUUUUGGGGGUUUUCAAGAGUACCAAAGGACAAUUGUUUGCUGAAAGACCAUAGAAACGCUAAAAAGGUGUUGAAUGGUCUCGGGUUAGGUUAUGAAAAAAUUUACGCUUGCAAAAACAAUUGUGUAUUGUUCUAUAAGGAGAAUAAAGCAUUGGAUAAAUGUUAUGUAUGCAAUGAGUCGAGGUUCAAAAUGACAUAUCAUAAUAGAUCGACGAAGAUCCCACAAAAAGUCAUGCGUUAUUUGCCUUUGAAGCCUAGGUUGUAGCGGUUGUAUAUGUUAACGCAUACUGCCAUCGGCAUGAAAUGGCAUAAGGAAAAGCGGGUAGAUAAUGAUGUCCUAAGGCAUGCUGCAGAUAGGGAGGCAUGGAAAAAGUUUGAUCAAACGUUCUUGAUUUUGAUGUUGAUCCUCGGAACGUUAGAUUGGGACUUGCCACUAACGGAUUCAAUAUGUUCGAGGUUCUAAGCCAACACCACAACACUUGGCCUAUUUUCGUAUUUCCGUAUAAUUUGCCACCAUGGAAAUGUAUGAAAAAAGAAUACAUGAUGAUGACUUUAUUGAUAACUGAGGAUCCUGGUAGCUAAAGGAUUUAUGGACACACAGUGUGCCCACAUACAAUAAGUGUGCUAACAAGAUGUUCACUUUGCAGGCAGUGGUGAUGUGGACUGUGAACGAUUUUCCCGCAUAUGAAAUGUUUUCCGGGUGGAGCACUAGGGGUUAUAUGGCAUGCCCUGUAUGCAAGGAAGACUUAACAUCUAGUUGGCACGCCGGAAAAGUUUGUUACUUUGGUCAUUGGAGAUGGUUGCCAUGGGACCACGAGUGGCAAGAAUAGGAUAAAGAGUUUGACGGGAAAAAAAGAGCCUCACCUUGGACCUAGAGAAUGGUCUGGUGGUCCGAUUUUGGAACAACUUAACCGUUUGGAUGUUGCUCUGUUCGGGAAAAAUGUCAGUAAGACCAAACCUUCUACACAUAUGAACUGGACACACAAGUCUAUGUUUUUUGAGCUCCUGUAUUGGUCAAAACUAAAAUUGAGACACAACCACGAUGUUAUGCAUGUUGAGAAAAAUGUAUUUGACACAUUGGUCCGUACAAUUCUAGAUAUCGAGGCAAGACAAAGGACACGAUCAAAGCUCGUCUUGAUUUAGAAUGAGUGGGAAUAUGACGGGUUUUAUGGAUGAAUACGGAUAAUGAUAAAGCUAGAAGGGAUCUUACGUUUUUUCCAUGAAACUGAAUGAGAAAAAAGAAUUUUUAAAGUUUUUAUUGUGUGUAAAGUUUCUUGAUAUGUACGCUUCAAAUAUCACGCACUGCUUGAACAUUGACGAGGGUAAAUUAGCUGGACUAAAGAGUCAUGACUGCUAUGUGGUUCUGCAACGCCUACUUCCUGUUGGUAUUCAACAUCUUUUGUCAGCCGAUGUAGUAAAACUAAUCGUGUUGUUAUCCAGCUUUUUGUUGCAAUUGACAUCAAGAUUGUUGCGAAAGACCGAUGUUAAUUAGUUGCGCCAUGACAUUGUGCAAGUUUUAUGCAAGUUUGAGAUGAUAUUUCCUCUAGCUUUCUUCACAAGUAUGAUCCACGUGGUGGUUCACUUAUUGGAUGAGGCAUUGCUUGCUGGACCAGUCAACUUUCAAUGGAUGUAUCCAAUAGAAAGGUAUAUAAUUCUUGUCAUUUUUAUUAAUCAAUAUCUUACGAUUAGUAAAAUUUGUAUCCUAUCAUUUUAUUUUGGCAGGUUUCUCGGAGACUUGAAGAAAGGUGUACGAAACAAAGCAAAGCCCAAAGGAUCAAUUAUACAAGCUUGGGUGGCAUAUGAGGCGUUUAUAUUUUGUGGAAUGUAUUUAAAGGAUGUGGAGACAACUUUCAAUCGUCCUUCUCGCAAUAAUGAUGGGGGUGUGAGAAAGGAGAAACUUUCUGUUUUUGCCCAAAUUGCUCGACCCUUUGGAGAUCAGAUAUGAGGCAAGUCGUUUUCCAAAAAGGACAUAGAGAUAACACAUUGGUUCGUACUCAACAAUUGUGAUGAGACACUGUCAUACCUAGACAAGCAUGAAGAUAUGAUGAAGCAAGCACAUCUUUCACAUUUGUAUGCCAAGAAACACCGUGAAUUAUUUCCGGUGUGGUUUCUCGAAUAUGUAAGUUUGAAGUGUUUUAUAUUGGACAUAUAUAUUGUAGGGGUGGGCAAACGGGUAUAGGAACCGCGGGUAGGGGCGGGUAAUUCAGGUUCGGGACGGGUACGGGGCGGUUCCAAUUUUUUGAGAAUAGAAACGGGGCGGGGCGGGACGGGUCGAUAGUAUUUACGGGGAGGGACGAGUCCUAGUAUUUGGAAUUAUGGGCCCUCGGACGGCCCGUUUCUAACUAUAACAGUCUCUAACCUAGUCCAUUAUCCAUCCCACUCUCCCGCAAAACCCACUCCCAAAUUUCAUUCCUUCAAAAUCCCAAACAAGGUCGCCGAGAUUCCCACACUCGAGUCCUCAACUUGAGGCUUCCUCCCACCUGCACUCUUCUUCCCCUCGACAAUGACGACACCACAUCACCUUACCAUCGGAGAAGACGAAGAUUGCGCGGUGCUGACCACCUAAUCCGAUUCGAAUCGGCCAAUUCCUGGCACUUGUUCGAUUCUGCAUCUGCUUCCUCACUCACAGAAUCCCAGCUGAAACUCUAAAUCCGGUCUGAAUCAGUCGACAAAGAAGCACUUGUAAUUUCUUUUUUCCCUAAAAAGUCUAUGUAUCUUUGAGUUCUAUUGCAAUUAGGUUUUUGUGAAUGAUGUUGCUAAUUUGUGGAUUGUUGUUGAGAGGAAUAAAAUAUUGAAGGCAAGGCAUAAAGAAGAAGAGAGGAAGCCUACAAAUUAAAUUCACUGAUUCUCUUAUGUGAUGAGGAAGACGACCUCAACGAGGUCAUCCCUUUGUUUAUUUUUUUUAAUUUUUUUUUUUUGUGAAUUUGUUGUGAGUUGUUAGAAAAUUUGAGUUUUCAUUAACCAUACCCUUUGUCUUUUAUGAAUUCGUAGCCACUGCCACCGCCACUUCCUCCUUCAUCUACUUCAAUCUCAGUAUGCCUAAAACCAAACAAAAAAAAAAGACCCGUGGACCCGCCCCAAACCAGCCCGUUUGAAAAGGGCAGCGUUAGGUCCGGUUCCCAAACUCAAAAUUCCUUUACCCGACCGGGCCCGCCUAGUAACAUUUUAAAACGGGUAAGUCUGGUUCCUUCAAAUUUCAGCCCGGCCCGGCCCGUGCCUAGCCCUAAUAUAUUGUACCAAUUAUUUUGCUUGAACUAACAAAUUUAAGUGUUUGUGUAAUAUUAGGUGAAUCAAUUGAAAGCAUUGAAUUCCCCAGCAUACAGUGAAAAGUUAUAUAACUUGAUGUUCGGACCAAUUCGGGUUGAAUUGUUCUUGGGUUGCCUUGUUAACGGCAUCAAGUUCUUAGGGGCUGCAUGAGAUGACAAGUUGUGUACGCAAAACAGCGGUGUUCAAGUGCCAAGUGGAGGUGAAAGUACAAACAUUGAAUUCUAUAGAACACUAACAAGUAUCAUGUAAUUAUUUACAAAGACCGAUGCCAAGUGAUCCUAUUUAAGUGCCGAUGGUUUGAUACAAACCCAAAUAGGCAGGGAAGUGUUAAAAGAGAUCAUGGAUUACUAUUAGUGAACACUACCAAAUUUUGGUACGAUGACGGCCCUUACAUCUUAGCAAACAUGGCAAAACAAAUUUUGUAUCUUGAAAACCCUAAAGCCGAGAGGGGUUGGAAAGUUGUUCAGAAGAUGGAUCAUAGGAAAGUGUAUGCUAUACCAAAACAAGACCCAACUGACGACGACAUCGACAAAGUAACUGACCAACGACUAGAAUCUUCGAUGGAAAUUGGUGCAGAAACACUCCGAGAUACUAAUCUUAUCCAAAAACUAUUUCAGAUAGAAGGAGUAUCUUCAAUCGAAAUACCGAUUCAAUCAAUCACAAUUGACCUCGGUAAUCUUUCGCACUACGAUGGUCUAGUGCGCACAAAUGACGAUGGUGACGUACAUAUCGAUGAUGAUGAGGAAUGGGACAUUGAAAAUGAUGAUAUCAACAAAAGUGAAAGUUAUUAUAGUUCGGAUGAAGAUUAAUGCAAUUUAUUUGUAAUUUUUAUUGUAAAAUACAUUAAAUGGUUAAUGCAUUUUAUAUGUGAAUUACUUUGUAAAUACAUUUGUUUUAUUAGUAUUUUACAAUAAAUUGUAAUCAAAAUUCUGCCAAAAAAAAAGUCUAUCUUUGACCAAAAAAAGAACAAAAACAAAAUUCAGACAUUUGCGGGACGAAUAUCUAUAUUUCGUCUCGCAAAGGAUAUUUGCGUAACGAAACCUAGUAUUCGUCGCACAAGUGCCUGAAAAUAAAGGCGCCUUUUUUCGUGGAAAUUUUUGAAAAAUCCCGACAAAGCAUCUUCUUCCUCCCCUCACUUCUCUCUUCUUCCUCCAAUACCCUUUCUCUCCCGAGGCCACUGUAGCCCCUCUUUCCAUCGCUGACCUCGCCUCGCCUGCAAUUGCACUCCGGCCAUCAUGUCUUCAUCUCAAGAGGUAAUUUCGUCUUAAUUUGCAUUCACUUUUCUUCGAAUUUUAGGUUUUGUUUGCUUCCAAUUUUAAAUUAGGGUUCUUGAUUUUAAAUUAGGGGUUAGAAUUGGGCAGUGGGUUGCAAUUAGGGUUCUUAAAUUAGGGUUCUUGAAAAUCAUACUGAUACACGGAUGAAGAAUUCGGAGCUAAGCAAGUAUUGCCUUUGUUUUGUAUCUUCAUAAAUUAGAACUAUAAAUUGUUUUGGUUGAUAUUUAUGUUCAUAGUUCUUCUCUAAAGUACAUGAUUUGGAGAAUUCUUUGCAAACAUCACACACACACACACACACACUCUCUCUCUCUCUCUCUCUCUCUCUGUGAGCUCCUACUCAGAUCCAAGUAUGUGUCUGCUUCAAUCUCUAAAGCUUCUACUUCAUCUGUUUGAAGUAGCUUAGGGUUUCGAGAUGAAGCUUUUACUUGAGUUUGGUCUCUCAAAAAUGAAGAGAAAAGCUUAAAAUAUGAAACAAUAUGUACAUAUUUCUGGGUUUAAUGGCUUUUACUAUAGUUUUUAGCUAAUGAUUCUAUGUUUAAGGCUUAAGCUGGAGAGCAAAAUUUGGUUGGUGAGAAAACUAAAGAAAGAAGGAAACAGAUUGUAGUUUUAUGAUUGGUUUCAAACUUGACGUGUAUGUUCGUGUUUCCAUUUCCGAUUAAUCUUAGAAUAAAUGAAUAUAAUCGAGAAAAAGAAUUUACCAAGAUUAACUUUUGAUGACAAAAUGGCUAUCUUGGGUAGGUUUUUUGAAACAGCAGUUAAAAUGUUCCACUAAAGCAGUUACCUGUGUAGUUUUUCAAUAUUUCAGCUCCAUUAUUCUGCAAGUGGUUAGGAUUAGGAUAGGUCCAAGGUUCAAUUCCCUCCAAUGAAAACGGUAAAAAACAAAAUCCAUUUCAGCCUUAAGUAUAAAUGGCAACUGAUGGGGGUGACUUUAUUUUCUGACGGUUUGGAUAUAACAGACAGUGAUUAUGGUGGUGGUUCAUAGUUGUUCUCCAAAGUACAUGGUUUAUAGGUCAAGUGUUAGUGAUAGUUGUUCAGUUAGCAUGCCUUAUACAUGAACUCUUUCUUUCUAUUGUUGGUUUAUGGGUGCUCCUCUCAAUGUCUAUGUGUAUAUUUAUUUGUUUGUGCCUUAUAGAGCCAAGUACGGGGGAUGUAAUGUAAUGCUUAUUAACUAUCGAAGAAGUUGUAGUUAGUAGCCGGACUUGCACCAAUAAACAUAUGCUAAGAUAUGCUCUCCGUGUAUGGAUUUUACAUAUUUCAUUUAUGUCUAAUUGUAUAAGUAUGAUUUUAACUCCGCCUGUGUAAGUUUAUCUUACAUUGCCAGUCCCAAGCCCGGAUAAAGGAGGAGGGGGAGGGCGUCAGGUAGUCGACAGCUGGCACUCCUAGUUUACGUCGAAUCCUUAUGAAAAUGAAUCCAGAACGAAAUCACGCUAAAGCUAGGGCGUCACCCGUAAGUGGCGCGCUGUGUGGCCCAAGCACAGUGAUAAGUGAGCAAGGGUCGCUAUAUCUCUAUCGGCACCCGGAUACAGUGUUAAAUGAGCAAGGGGGCCAUAAAAACUUCUUUUUGAACGACUCCACUCAAAACUGUUUGGGAGCAUAUGCUACUAUCAACUUUACACAGGACACACAAAAGAAGUACUUUGAUCCUAUUAGACGGGGGAGGUUGAAGAAGCUAGGACAGAAGGGUAGAGUUCAAGAGAGUAGAAUGCGUUUAGGAACGUGGAAUAUAGGAACCCUAACGGGAAAAUCUAUGGAAGUAGUGGAAGUUAUGGUGAGGAGAAGGAUAAAUAUUAUAUGCCUACAAGAAACUAAGUGGGUUGGUCUUAAGGCAAAGGAUCUAGAAAACUCAGGGUUUAAACUCUGGUAUUCGGGCACAAAUAGAACGAGAAACGGUGUUGGCAUCAUCGUGGACAAGACCUUGACACAAGAUGUUGUAGAUGUCAAGAGGGUAGGAGAUAGAAUCAUGGCAAUCAAGAUUGUAAUAGGACAAGAACUCAUCAAUGUGAUUAGUGCGUACGCACCUUAAGUAGGGUUGGAUAUGAGUUCGAAGGAGAAAUUUUGGGAAAACCUUGGAGACUUGGUGCAAGGAAUUGCUCAGAUGGAGAAGUUAUUUAUAGGAGGAGAUUUAAAUGGACACGUGGGCAAGGAGACAGGCAACUAUAGAGGUUUUCAUGGUGGCCAUGGUUUUGGGGAGAGAAACAAGGAUGGGGAAGCUAUCUUGGAUUUUGCAAUGGCAUAUGAUCUCUUCUUAGCCAACACCUUCUUUAAGAAGAGAGAAUAACAUGUGAUCACCUACAAGAGUGGGUCGUCAAAAACACAAAUAGAUUUUCUUCUAAUGAGGAAAGGGGAUCGUAUAACUUGUAAGGAUUGCAAAGUUAUACCGGGAGAGAGCUUGGUUAAUCAACAUCGCUUGUUGGUGAUGGAUGUACAUAUCAAAAGAGUGAGAAAAAAGAACAAGACUUGGAAGUGCCCAAGGACUAGAUGGUGGAAUCUAAAAGGAGAAAAACAAGCAAUUUUUAAAGAGAAAGUAACCACCCAGUGUGUGGGAUAGAGAGGGGGAAGCUAGCCAAAGGUGGGAUUCCAUGGCUAGUUGUAUCUAAAAUGUAGCAAAAGAGGUAUUAUGAGAGUCCAAGGGCUUUGCUCCACACCAAAAGGAAUCUUGGUGGUGGAAUGAGGAGGUACAAA
rnacentral:lncRNA from 1 species